rnacentral:lncRNA from 1 species
ACCAAAAUGCAUGGGUAUAUAGCCGACAUUUUUUACUGAAAACUAGCAUAAACAGUGGUACAUGAUUCAUUACAUGUUAAAACCGAUAAAACGAACUUUAUUGAUCCGGACAUAGAAACAACAAAAAAAGCAUUUUAUAAGUAUCAAAACGUUGGAAAAUCAAAUGUACAACCAUCUCAAUAACGAAAAUAGACCGGAACAAUAUAUUUCACCCAAAAGAAUCUUAAAUAAGCAGUGUAUUUCAAUUCAUGUAAUAAAAUCAACCAACACAACAAGGCACAGGAAGAGAUGGUGUUGUGCCACAAAAUAACCAUAGAAAAAAUUUAAAUAUUGGCUCGUUGGCACGUGGACUAGAUGAGCUCUUUCGAAAUAUUAUUCGUCAUCACUUAUCAGAGGCUGAUUAGAUGCUGAGAGUGGUCUUGUAGGUGGUGCCAGCCUUGAAAUCGGCGGGGAUGACAUCAUCGGCGAUACGGUAGCCGCCAGACUUGGUAGCAAAGCGGAUGCAGAGGGGGUACUUGAGCGGGGCCUUGGUGUCGAGCGUCCAAGUGCCAGCUGGGCCCUCCUUGAGUGUAAAGGAGAAAUCGUCGCCGCCAUGCUCCUUGAUCUCCACGUCAGAGAUGGUGGCAAUGUUAGGGGUGAGAACCAGGUGGCCAGGCUUGGAGCCCUUGCCGACCUGGAAGGUGAGUGGGGUGGUGCACGAACCGAAUGCGAACAACAUAGCCAGUGCCGUUGUGGCAAGCAGGAUAGAGUACCUUGAGGCCAUUGUUGGUGGCGAGCUAGCGAUGUAUUUGUUUCUAUGUGCUUGUUUCUUUCACGGAUGUGUGUGUUGUGUCUGUGUGGGGAGAUCGGUGUUGUAGUCGGGCACAUAUUUAUGGACGAUGGAGGAGGCAAGGAAGUUGGACAUUGGUGUACGGCGUGCCACAGAUAUCGCUGGCUGACUUAUUUUUGUUCCUCGAAAAAACCUCGGUCGGUUGUUCAAAGACCAACACGUGUACACAACUACUAUAAAUAGGUCUGAGCUCGGUGGGCCUGAUUCUUUUCUUCUAACAAAAAAGUUCAAAAUAAAGGCAUGGCAUGCAGUCCUCUCGUAAAAGAAAAGAGAAGAAAAGCAAAAGCAUGCACUCCUCAUUAGCUCUCUACUUACUUCCUUUUAAAAAACUAUAAAUAGUAAAUCACUUUCACUUUUGUUCCACUCAUUUCCCAUUUUUGCUUUUUUGACCCUUUUUGAGAAAGUUUUUCUCAAGUAUGCCCUUUUUAGUUUGAAUUCUGCAUCCCGCCUUCCUCUAGGCCCACACCAUCUUGGUCGACCUCCCUCCCCACGCAGUCGUUCCCAACCGUAUUUUUUUUUGCCUUUUGACCCUUUUGAGAAAGUUUUUCACAAGUAUGCCCUUUUCAGUUUGAAUUCCGUCGAGGUAUCGCUCCGUAGCGAGCGUCGAGCGCUUAUGUGGCAGGGGUCGUCGCCCGUGCCUGGUCCUAUGUACAAAAUAAAUGGACACACCAACGAAAACAUGAGUCUACUAGGGUUUGAACCAACAACCGCGAAUAUUAAAGCUCAUGUCUCUAACCAACACAACUUAUGAUUAUUUGUGCUAAACAAAGAAAAUAUUUUUAUUUGAACAAGUGACUUGAUGAUGUGCAUAUGUAUUGUUUGAUGGACGUGCUUAAUCACUUAUUUGAUCUCGAAAACACAAACUAAUAUCCACAUUAAGCUGUUGGUAUGUGCACGAUCUAUUUUUUCACACUAAAGCACAAUGGAUUAUUGAGGAAUUCGAACUUUCUGUAGACUUCAGUUUAAUCCUUAUGUAUAUGUAUAUAUAUAUAUAUAUAAAACAUAUACAAAUAUUGGCACACAGUUUCUAUUUACAACAGUUUCUAAACAGCUCCCAUUUUCUGUCGUCUCCAGCAAUCAUACGCACGUACGUGCUCCAGGUCAUAGCCGUAGUGUUACGAGUUUUCAUUUCAGCUACAUGCCAACUGAUAGGUACUUGCAAUUCUACAUGUUUUCUUUUUAGGUUACUGACAUGGAGGAACGGGAAAUAACUCCAUGAAGCGCUUAAGACUUAUCCUAGACGUCCAUGAGUGCAAGGACGACUUAUCCUACACGUCCACCAUUAUUAGGAGGGCUACUAACGCACGAACGCAAGGGCUAAGCGACCGUUUGCGGGUGGCAGGGGUUGGUGCUGUAAGGGAAAUGACUUAAUCAUUUCCUAUAAUCGAUUUUAGUGGUUGACGUCCAUCACAAACCACGUCGACUAAUUAGUUUGCCAAGAUGUCUUUUUAUCUCAGAUGCAUAAGGUUUAACACAAACCAAGAAAGAAAUUAAGUUAGGGACCCAACAAAGUUUGGAGCAAAGACUUGAGAGUGUGCUGCCAGUGGCGCACCGGACAGUGUCCAGUGCCCUAGGCCGAGCACCACUCGAACAUGCCACUCUCGGGUUUUUCCAAGCUCCGCUAUAAUUCAUCGGACUGUCCGGUGUGCACUGGACAUGUCCGAUGAGCCAACGGAGCAACGGUAACCUGGCGCUCAACGGUCGACUGUGUGAACAGUAAAAGCGCACAGUGCAGAAGUCAGAUGUCAAGCUGCGAAGUCAGAACACACCAGACAUGUCUAGUGUUCCACCCGACUGUCCGGUGCCGCAAGAGAACAGAAGACUUCAACGGUCAAGCCACUCCAAACCCCAACGGCGUGCUGACGUAGCACACAUCGGAUAGUGAACAGUACCUGUCCGGGGCACCGCCGGACUGUCCGGUGUGCCCAUCGACAGCAAACUCAGCCAACGGCUAGAAAGUGGUUGGAGGCUAUAAAUACCCCCACCCACCUCCAUUCAAGCCAUCCAAGUUUUGAGAAGUUCACAUUCAAUACAAUAGCAAUAGCAUUCACUCCAAGACACAUUCCAAAGAUCAAAUCCCCUCCAAGCCUCAAAAUCAACUCAAUUGCUUAGUGACUUGAGAGAGGGUGUUUUGUGUUCUUUUGUUGCUCUUGUUACUUGGAUUGCUUUCUCCUUUCUAUUCUCAUUCUUCUAAGUGCUUUGUAAAGCUAGCAAGAGACACCUAAGUGUGUGGUGAUCCUUGCGAGGUCUUAGUGACCCAAGUGAUUAAGGAGAAACCUUGACCGGUCUGUGUGACCGAUUGAGAGAGGGAAAGGGUUGGAAUAGACCCGGACUUUGUGGCCUCCUCAAUGGGGACUAGGUUCUUUGGAACCAAACCUUGGUAAAACAAAUCAUCGUGUUCACUUGCAUUGAUCUUCACUUGAUUUGUUUUCCUGUCUUUCCUCUCUCUAAAGUUUCCUUGCUAAUAUUGAUUUAAGUUUGCUCCCAAAGUUAUACACAUCAAUUUGAGCAACUCAGCAAGAGAUACAAUCUUCCGCACUCAGAUUUAAUUCUAACGCUAACCCCGGCCUUAGUGUGUGUUUAAAGUUUGUAAAUUUCAGGUUUCGCCUAUUCACCCCCUCUAGGCGACUUUCAGGUGCCAAUAGUGACGGCGCCGACCCCUACCAAGUAGGCGCCACAACGACGCUCCGGAGUGAUGCCUUGACACCAUUUAUAUUGGCGCCAAGACGUGUAACGUCGACGCCAAUAGUGAUGGCACCGAGGUAAGGGUCCAUUUUCUGAAUUAAAAUUGAAAAAGGCUUACUUGUGAAAAACUUUCCCCAAAAGGGCCAAAAAGCAAAAAAGACGACUGUCCCAAACACCCCUCCACACGCCGCCUCCCCGUGCCCUCCCUCCACACGCCGCCUCUGCUCGUCCGGAUCUCCCCGUGACCUCCUUCCCCACUUUGUUGCUCCGCCCAUCGCCUCAUCGCGACCUCCCUCCCCACGCCUCCAUUACCGUGGAGCUUUCAACCAGCCCGAGUGCUCCAGAAAUCUCGCAACCCGUCCGCUCGCCAUGAACCCACCCGUAAUCACGGGCGCUCCAACCGCGACCGCCAUCCUCGCCCGCGAACGCUCCAACCGCGACCUCCCGAAAUCCACGCCAUGCUCCGUUCAUGCCGCGUCUGCUCUAAUCGUGUCCGUGCAUGCCAUGAUCGCCAUUCUCGCCCCCCACUGUCUACGCAUUUUGUGCUCACCCAACAGCCUUAUCGCGCCCUCCACCAUCGCUGGCCAGCGUUCGAUGCAUACGCCAACCUUAUCACGUUCGCAUCCUCUCUCGCAUGCGUUCCCAACCACCGUCCUGUCAUCCUUAUGCAGCUUGCCCAUGGUAGCCACGAGCUGGAGCAGCAGCACUUCCAACAUCCUGUUCUUGAGAACCCAUGCCUCACAACAUACCGUCUGGUGAGUCUCCAACUAACUUAAACGUGAUUGUGGCUCCUUCUAUUUUCAUGUGAAAUUGGUUCUAGUACCUUGCUAAUUGUGGUUGUUCAUCGAUCUGGUGAAGCUACAUGUGCAUAAAUAUUUUUUGUUUAUUGCUAUCCAGAUAUUUUUGCUUUUCCCCUUGUUUUUGCUUGCUUCAAUUUUUGGAAGGAGCAUCUACUUUUUUACUACAACCGUAUGUGGCUUGAUGCUAUUUGAAAGGGAAAUAGGCUCACACCUUUUCCUAAUUGAUUUUGGUGGUUGAAUUGUCCAACACAAAUAAUUGGACUAACUAGUUUGCUCUAGAUUAUAAGUUCUACAGGUGCCAAAGGUUCAACACAAACCAAUAAAAAGUCCAAGAAAGGGUUCAAAUAAAAAGAGCAAAAGACAACCGAAGGCAGCCCUGGUCUGGCGCACCGAACUGUCCGGUGUGCCACCGGACAGUGUCCGGUGCACCAGGGAGAUCAACUCCGAACUUGCCACCUUCGGGAAUUCUGGGAGCCACUCCGCUAUAAUUCACCGGACUGUCCGGUGUAGCACCAAACUGUCCGGUGUGCCAUGCGGAGCAACGGCUACCUGUGCCAACGGUCGUCUGCAACAGCUACAGUGAACAGUGAACAGUGCCGACUGCGCGCGCAGAGUCAGAGCAAGCGCCAGAUGGCGCACCGGACAGUGAACAAUACAUGUCCGGUGCACCACCAGACUGUCCGGUGGCCCACUUGUCAGAAGCUCCAACGGUCGAACCCUAACAGUUGGGUGACGUGGCUGGUGCACCGGACAGUGUCCGGUGGUGCACCGGACUGUCCGGUGCGCCCUUUGACAGCAGCCUUCCCCAACGUCCACUUUGCUGGUUGGGGCUAUAAAUACCCCCAACCACCAACACUUCAGAGCAUCCAAGUUUUCAGCCAACACAUUCAAUACAAGAGCUAGUGCAUUCAAUACAAGACACAAAUAGAGUGAAUCAAAAUCUCUCCAAGUCCCAAUUCCACUCAAAGCAAUAGUGACUAGAAGAGAGAGUUUUGUCGUGUUCUUUUGAGCUCUUGCGCUUGGAUCGCUUUUCUUCUUCCCAUUUCUUGUUCCCAAGAUCAUUGUAAUCAAAGCAAGAUACACCAAUUGUGUGGUGGUCCUUGUGGGGACUAAGUGUCCCGUUUGAUUGAGAAGAGAAGCUCACUCGGUCUAAGUGAUCGUUUGAGAGAGGGAAAGGGUUGAAAAAGACCCGGUCUUUGUGACCACCUCAACGGGGAGUAGGUUUUCAAGAAACGAGCCUCGUUAAAACAAAUCACCGUGUCAUCCGCUCUUAUUCGCCUGUGAUUUGUUUUCGCCCUCUCUUUCGGACUCGAUUAUAUUUCUAACGCUAACCCCGGCUUGUAGUUGUGCUUAAACUUUAUAAAUUUCAGAUUUGCUUAUUCACCCCCCCUCUAGGUGACUUUCAAUUGGUAUCGGAGCCCGGUACUUCAUUAAGAGCCUAACCACUCGAAGUUAUGUCGGAAGCUCACGCCAAGAAGGAGAUGGUGACCGGUGAGAAGCCCGCCACAAGCCACAGGAAGGCUCCAUCGGGGGAGUCCGACAACAAGAAGAGGGAGGAAUCACCUCCCCGUGUCAAGUCGCACCGGAGUGGCGACAAGAAGAAGAAAAUGAAGAAAGUGGUCUACUACGAGACCGAUUCUUCGUCUCCUUCCACCUCCGGCUCCGACGCGCCGUCCGUCACUUCUAAGCGCCAUGAGCGCAAGAAGUUUAGUAAGAUCCCCUUACGCUAUCCUCGCAUUUCCAAACGCACUCCUUUACUUUCCGUCCCAUUAGGCAAACCACCGGUUUUUGACGGUGAAGAUUAUUGUAUGUGGAGUGAUAAAAUGAGGCACCAUCUAACCUCACUCCACGCUAGUAUUUAGGACAUUGUUAAAUUUGGCGCACAAGAACCAUCCGUGGGGGAUGAAGGCUAGGAUUCGAACGAGGUAGCCCAAAUCCGGCAUUUCAACUCCCAAGCCACCACUAUACUCCUCGCCUCUCUAAGUCGAGAGGAGUAUAACAAGGUGCAAGGGUUGAAGAGUGCCAAAGAAAUUUGGGACGUGCUCAAGACCGCGCACGAAGGAGAUGAGGUGACCAAGAUCACCAAGCGGGAGACGAUCGAGGGGAGCUCAGUCGAUUCAUGCUUCACCAAGGGGAGGAGCCACAAGCCAUGUACAACCGGCUCAAGACCUUGGUGAACCAAGUGCGCAACCUCGGGAGCACCAAUGGGAUGACCAUGAAAUGGUCAAGGUUAUUCUUAGAUCACUCGUUUUUCUUAACCCUACUCAAGUACAAUUAAUUCGUGGUGAUCCAAGAUAUAAACUAAUGUCUCCCGAGGAAGUGAUAGGGAAGUUUGUGAGCUUUGAACUCAUGAUCAAAGGCUCCAAAUAAAUCAUAGAGCGAGGCGCCACCUCCACACCCGAGGUGCAACCCGUCGCCUUCAAAGCGACGGAGGAGAAGAAGGAAGAGUCUACAUCAAGUAGGCUUCCCAUCGAUGCCUCCAAGCUCGACAAUGAGGAGAUGGCUUUAAUCAUCAAAAGCUUUCGCCAAAUCCUCAAGCAAAGGAAGGGGAAAGAUUACAAGCCUCGUUCCAAGAAAGUAUGGUACAAAUGUGGUAAGUCCGGUCAUUUCAUUGCUAAAUGUCCAUUAUCAAGUGAUAGUGACAGGGGCGACGACAAGAAGGGAAGAAGGAAGGAGAAGAAGAAGUAUUACAAGAAGAAGGGCGGCGAUGCCCAUGUUUACCGGAGUGGGACUCCGAUGAGAGCUCCACCUACUCCUCCUCCGACUAGGACGCCGCAAACAGCGCCGUCACCAAGGGUCUCCUCUUCCCCAACGUCGGUCACAAGUGCCUCAUGGCAAGGGACGACAAAAAGAAGGUAAAAUCUAGAGCCUCCACUAAAUACGCGACAUCUAGUGAUGAGGAAAGCUCUAGUGAUGAUGAGGAUAAUUUACUUGCCCUUUUUGCCAACCUCAACAUGCAACAAAAGGAGAAAUUAAAUGAAUUGAUAGGAGCUAUUCAUGAGAAGGAUGAACUCUUGGAUACCCAAGAGGACUUCCUUAUCAAAGAAAAUAAGAAGCAUGUUAAGGUUAAAAAUGCUUACGCUAUCAUAGAAAAAUUAGUGAGCUAAGUACUUGCCAUGAUGUUAUCUCAAACCUUAGAAAUGAAAAAUGCCAAACUAAUUGCUAAGGUUGAGAAGUUAGAUGUUUGUGAUGAUUCAAUUGUUAGUCUUAGAAAUGAUAAUGAUAGUUUGAUCACUAAGAUUGAUAAAUUGAAUGCAUCCCUCUCUAGCCUUAAAAUUGAGAAUGAAAAAUUAAUUGCUAAGGCUAAAGAUUUAAAUGUUUGCAAUGUUUCUAUUUCCAAUCUUAGAGAUGAGAAUGCUAUUUUACAUGCUAAGAUUGUUGAAUUAAAUACUUGCAAACCCUCUACAUCUAACGUUGAGCAUGUUACUAUUUGCACUAGAUGUAGAGAUAUUAAUGUUGAUGUUAUUCAUGAUCACCUAGCUUUAAUUAAACAACAAAAUGAUCACAUAGCUCAACUUAGUGCUAAAAUUAAUGAGUAUGACUUAGAAAAUGAAAAAUUUAAAUUUGCUCGUAGUAUGCUUUAUAGUGGGAGACACCCUAGCAUUAAGGAUGGCAUUGGCUUCCAACAGGGUGACAAUGUCAAGCUUAAUGCCCCUAAGAAAUUAUCUAACUUUGUUAAGGGCAAAGCUCCCAUGGUUCAGGAUAACGAGGGUUACAUUUUAUACCCUGCCGGUUAUCCUGAACACAAAAUUAGGAGAAUUCAGUCUAGGAAGUCUCACUCUGGCUCUCAUCAUGCUUUUAUGUAUAAGAGUGAGGCAUCUAGUUCUAGGCAGUCCACUCAAGUCAAAUUGCCUAAUAAGAAAACUCCUAUUGCAUAAAAUGAACCUAACAUUUCAUUUAAGACUUUUGAUGCAUCAUAUGUUUUAACUAACAAAUCAGGCAAAGUAGUUGCCAAAUAUGUUGGGGCCAAACACAAGAGCUCAAAGACAAGAAGGGAAGAAGGAAGGAGAAGAAGAAGUAUUACAAGAAGAAGGGCGGCGAUGCCCAUGUUUACCGGAGUGGGACUCCGAUGAGAGCUCCACCUACUCCUCCUCCGACGAGGACGCCGCAAACAGCGCCGUCACCAAGGGUCUCCUCUUCCCCAACGUCGGUCACAAGUGCCUCAUGGCAAGGGACGACAAAAAGAAGGUAAAAUCUAGAGCCUCCACUAAAUACGCGACAUCUAGUGAUGAGGAAAGCUCUAGUGAUGAUGAGGAUAAUUUACUUGCCCUUUUUGCCAACCUCAACAUGCAACAAAAGGAGAAAUUAAAUGAAUUGAUAGGAGCUAUUCAUGAGAAGGAUGAACUCUUGGAUACCCAAGAGGACUUCCUUAUCAAAGAAAAUAAGAAGCAUGUUAAGGUUAAAAAUGCUUACGCUAUCAUAGAAAAAUUAGUGAGCUAAGUACUUGCCAUGAUGUUAUCUCAAACCUUAGAAAUGAAAAAUGCCAAACUAAUUGCUAAGGUUGAGAAGUUAGAUGUUUGUGAUGAUUCAAUUGUUAGUCUUAGAAAUGAUAAUGAUAGUUUGAUCACUAAGAUUGAUAAAUUGAAUGCAUCCCUCUCUAGCCUUAAAAUUGAGAAUGAAAAAUUAAUUGCUAAGGCUAAAGAUUUAAAUGUUUGCAAUGUUUCUAUUUCCAAUCUUAGAGAUGAGAAUGCUAUUUUACAUGCUAAGAUUGUUGAAUUAAAUACUUGCAAACCCUCUACAUCUAACGUUGAGCAUGUUACUAUUUGCACUAGAUGUAGAGAUAUUAAUGUUGAUGCUAUUCAUGAUCACCUAGCUUUAAUUAAACAACAAAAUGAUCACAUAGCUCAACUUAGUGCUAAAAUUAAUGAGUAUGACUUAGAAAAUGAAAAAUUUAAAUUUGCUCGUAGUAUGCUUUAUAGUGGGAGACACCCUAGCAUUAAGGAUGGCAUUGGCUUCCAACAGGGUGACAAUGUCAAGCUUAAUGCCCCUAAGAAAUUAUCUAACUUUGUUAAGGGCAAAGCUCCCAUGGUUCAGGAUAACGAGGGUUACAUUUUAUACCCUGCCGGUUAUCCUGAACACAAAAUUAGGAGAAUUCAGUCUAGGAAGUCUCACUCUGGCUCUCAUCAUGCUUUUAUGUAUAAGAGUGAGGCAUCUAGUUCUAGGCAGUCCACUCAUGUCAAAUUGCCUAAUAAGAAAACUCCUAUUGCAUAAAAUGAACCUAACAUUUCAUUUAAGACUUUUGAUGCAUCAUAUGUUUUAACUAACAAAUCAGGCAAAGUAGUUGCCAAAUAUGUUGGGGCCAAACACAAGAGCUCAAAGACUUGUGUUUGGGUACCCAAGGUGCUUGUUUCUAAUGUGAAAGGACCCAAGACCGUUUGGGUACCUAAGAACAAGGCCUAAAUUUGUUUUGUAGGUUUAUGCAUCUGGGGGCUCAAGUUGGAUAAUUGAUAGCGGGUGCACAAACCACAUGAUUGGGGAGAAAAGGAUGUUCUCCUCCUACGAGAAAAACCAUGAUCCUCAAAGAGCUAUCGCAUUCGGGGAUGGAAAUCAAGGUUUGGUCAAAGGACUUGGUAAAAUUGCUAUAUCUCCUGACCAUUCUAUUUCCAAUGUUUUUCUUGUAGAUUCUUUAGAUUAUAAUUUGCUUUCCGUUUCUCAAUUAUGUAAAAUGGGCUAUAACUGUCUUUAUACGGAUAUAGGUGUUACUGUCUUUAGAAGAAGUGAUGAUUCAGUAGCAUUUAAGGGAGUGUUAGAGGGUCAGCUAUACUUAGUUGAUUUUAAUAGAGCUGAACUCGACACUUGCUUAAUUGCUAAGACUAACAUGGGUUGGCUCUGGCACCGCCGACUAGCCCAAGUUGGGAUGAAGAAUCUUCAUAAGCUUCUAAAGGAAGAGCACAUUUUGGGACUAACAAAUGUUCAUUUUGAGAAAGACAUGAUUUGUAGUGCAUGUCAAGCAGGAAAGCAAGUUGGUGUUAAUCAUCCACACAAGAACAUCAUGACGACUGACAGGCCACUCGAGUUACUCCACAUGGACCUAUUCGGCCCGAUCGCUUACAUAAGCAUCGGCGGGAGUAAAUACUGUCUAGUUAUUUGGGAUGAUUAUUCUCGCUUCACUUGGGUGUUCUUUUUGCAGGAAAAAUCACAAACCCAAGAGACCUUAAAGGGAUUCUUGAGACGAGCUCAAAAUGAGUUCGGCUUAAGGAUCAAAAAGAUUAGAAGCAACAACGGGACGGAGUUCAAGAACUCACAAAUAGAAGGCUUCCUUGAGGAUGAGGGCAUCAAGCAUGAGUUCUCUUCUCCCUACACACCACAACAAAAUGGUGUAGUGGAGAGGAAGAAUAGAACUCUACUUGACAUGGCGAGGACCUGCUUGAUGAAUACAAGAAUUCAGACCGGUUUUGGGUGGAAGCAAUCAACACCGCUUGCUACGCCAUCAACCGUCUCUACCUUCACCGAAUCCUCAAGAAGACAUCAUAUGAACUCCUAACCGAUAAAAAGCCUAAUGUUUCAUAAUUUAGAGUCUUUGGUAGCAAAUGUUUUAUUCUUGUUAAAAGAGGUAGAAAAUCUAAAUUUGCUCCUAAGGCUGUAGAAGGCUUUUUACUUGGUUAUGAUUCAAACACAAGGGCAUAUAGAUUCUUUAACAAGUCCACUGGACUAGUUGAAGUUUCUUGUGACAUUGUGUUUGAUGAGACUAACGGCUCUCAAGUAGAGCAAGUUGAUCUUGAUGAGCUAGAUGAUGAAGAGGCUCCGUGCGUCGCGCUAAGGAACAUGUCCAUUGGGGAUGUGUGUCCUAAGGAAUCCGAAGAGCCUCCACAAGCACAAGAUCAACCAUCUUCCUCCAUGCAAGCAUCUCCACCAACUCAAGAUGAGGAUCAAGCUCAAGAGUAUGAAAAUGAAGAUCAAGAAGAUGAGCCACCUCAAGAAGGGGACAAUGAUCAAGGGGGAGAUGCCCAUGAUCUAGACAAGGAAGAUGAUGAUGGUCCAAGACCACCACACCCAAGAGUCCACCAAGCAAUACAACGAGAUCACCAUGUGAACUCCAUCCUCAACGAUAUUCAAAAGGGGGUAACCACUCGAUCUCGUGUUGCUCAUUUUUGUGAACAUUACUCCUUUGUGUCGUCUAUUGAGCCGUACAGGGUGAAAGACGCAUUAAGGGAUUCGGAUUGGGUGUUGGCAAUGCAAGAGGAACUCAACAACUUCACGAGGAAUGAGGUAUGACAUUUAGUUCCACGUCCUAACCAAAAUGUUGUAGGAACCAAGUGGGUCUUCCGCAACAAACAAGAUGAGCAUGGUGUGGUGACAAGGAACAAAGCCCGACUUGUGGCCAAGGGAUUUUCACAAGUCGAAGGUUUGGAUUUCGGUGAAACCUAUGCACCCGUAGCUAGGCUUGAGUCAAUUCGAAUAUUACUUGUCUAUGCUACUUACCAUGGCUUUAAGCUUUAUCAAAUGGACGUAAAAAGUGCCUUCCUCAAUGGACCAAUCAAGGAAGAUGUCUAUGUUGAGCAACCUCCCGGCUUUGAAGAUAGUGAGUACCCUAACCAUGUUUACAAACUCUCUAAGGUGCUUUAUGGGCUCAAGCAAGCCCCAAGAGCAUGGUAUGAAUGCCUAAGAGAUUUUCUUAUCGCUAAUGGCUUCAAGGUCGAAAAAGCCGAUUCUACUCUCUUUACUAAAACAAUUGCAAAAGAUUUGUUUAUAUGCCAAAUUUAUGUUGAUGAUAUCAUAUUUGGGUCUACUAACAAAUCUACUUGUGAAGAGUUUAGUAAGAUCAUGAUUCAAAAAUUCGAGAUGUCUAUGAUGGGGGAGUUGAAGUACUUCUUAGGAUUUCAAGUGAAACAACUCCAAGAGGGCACCUUCAUCAUCCAAACCAAGUAUAUUCAAGACAUACUCACAAAGUUUGGGAUGAAGGAUGCCAAGCCCAUCAAAACACCCAUGGGAACUAAUGGGCAUCUCGACCUCGACACGGGAGGUAAAUCCGUAGAUCAAAAGGUAUACCGGUCGAUGAUAUGAUCUUUACUCUAUUUAUGUGCAUCUCGACCGGAUAUAAUGCUUUCCGUAUGCAUGUGUGCAAGAUUCCAAGCCGAUCCUAAGGAAGUUCACCUUAAGGUCGUAAAACGAAUCUUGAGAUAUUUAGCUUAUACUCCUAAGUUUGGCCUUUGGUACCCCAGGGGAUCCACUUUUGAUUUAAUUGGAUAUUCAGAUGCUGAUUGGGCAGGGUGUAAGAUUGAUAGAAAGAACACAUCAGGGACUUGCCAGUUCUUGGGAAGAUCUCUAGUGUCUUGGGCUUCUAAGAAACAAAAUUCUGUACCAAGCCACUAGAUGAGAAAACUUUUACCAAACUUAGGCAUGAGCUAAACAUUCUUGAUUCUAGGAAUUUUGAUUGAUAUUUUGCACACCUAGCUCAUUUCAAUACAGUUGAUCAUAUCUCUUUCAUGUACUAUGACUAAUGUGGUUUUCAAGUGUAUUAUAUGCUAAGUCAUAGAUUGAAAGGGAAAUGGAGUUCUUCGGCGAAGCCAAGGCUUCCACUCCACUCCAUCAUGUUAUUCAUCAUUUGCCGUCACUCCGCAACGCUCUCCAAUUUGGUAUAAUCUUCACUCAUAUAUUGUUUACCAAAGGGGGAGAAUGUUUGAACAAGGGCUUAUAUUUCACUCACAAGUAUCCGUUUUUGGCGAUUCAUGCCAAAGGGGGAGAAAGUAUUAGCCCAAAGCAAAAGUACCGCACCACCACCAAUUUCACAAAUGUAGUCUUUCAAAUUUGUAUUAAAAGAAGGUUUUUCAAUUGGUAUCUUAUUUUGUUAUAUAAUUUCAAAUUGGUAUGACCCCUUUCAAAACUAAUAUCUAAACCCCUCUUGAACACUAAGAGGAGAAUUUCAUUGAGGGGGAGUUUUGUUUAGUCAAAGGAAAAGCAUUUGAAACAGGGGGAGAAAAUUUCAAAUAUUGAAAAUGCUUCUCAAAAUCUUAUUCAUUUACCUUUGACUAUUUGCAAAAAGACUUUGAAAAGAAUUUCCAAAAGAGUUUGCAAAAACAAAACAUGUGGCGCAAGCAUGGUCCAAAAUGUUAAAUUAGAAGAAAACAUCCAUGCAUAUAUUAUAAAAAUGUAUAUUGGUUUAAUUCCAAGUAACCCUUGCACUUACCUUUUGCAAACUAGUUCAAUUCUGCACUUAUAUAUUUGCUUUGGUUUGUGUUGGCAUCAAUCACCAAAAAGGGGGAGAUUGAAAGGGAAAUAGGCUCACACCUUUUCCUAAUUGAUUUUGGUGGUUGAAUUGUCCAACACAAAUAAUUGGACUAACUAGUUUGCUCUAGAUUAUAAGUUCUACAGGUGCCAAAGGUUCAACACAAACCAAUAAAAAGUCCAAGAAAGGGUUCAAAUAAAAAGAUCAAAAGACAACCGAAGGCAGCCCUGGUCUGGCGCACUGGACUGUCCGGUGCACCAGGGAGAUCAACUCCGAACUUGUCACCUUCGGGAAUUCUGGGAGCCACUCCGCUAUAAUUCACCGGACUGUCCGGUGUAGCACCGGACUGUCCGAUGUGCCAUGCGGAGCAACGGCUACCUGCGCCAACGGUUGUCUGCAACAGCUACAGUGAACAGUGAACAGUGCCGACUGCGCGCGCAGAGUCAGAGCAGGCGCUAGAUGGCACACCGGACAGUGAACAGUACCUAUCUGGUGCACCACCGGACUGUUCGGUGGCCCACUUGUCAGAAGCUCCAACGGUCGAACCCUAACGGUUGGGUGACGUGGCUAGCGCACCGGAUAGUGUCCGGUGGUGCACCGGGCUGGCCGGUACGCCCUUCGACAGCAGCCUUCCCCAACGGCCACUUUGGUGGUUGGGGCUAUAAAUACCCCCAAUCACCAACACUUUAGAGCAUCCAAGUUUUCAGCCAACAUAUUCAAUACAAGAGCUAGUGCAUUCAAUACAAGACACAAAUAUAGUGAAUCAAAAUCUCUCCAAGUCCCAAUUCCACUCAAAGCAAUAGUGACUAGAAGAGAGAGUUUUGCCGUGUUCUUUUGAGCUCUUGCGCUUGGAUCGCUUUUCUUCUUCCCCAUUUCUUGUUCCCAAGAUCAUUGUAAUCAAAGCAAGAGACACCAAUUGUGUGGUGGUCCUUGUGGGGACUAAGUGUCCCGUUUGAUUGAGAAGAGAAGCUCACUCGGUCUAAGUAGUUGUGCUUAAACUUUAUAAAUUUCAGAUUUGCCUAUUCACCCCCCUCUAGGUGACUUUCACUAUUCUCAAUUACUUCUUCAAAAGAAAAGUUACAGUGAGUUGGUGAAUUUAACACAUGAUGCUAUUUGUUGCAGAGAUUUAGUGAUACUCCUUAUCGUCUUGAUAGAAAUUCAUUUAUGUAAUAUUUUUUUGUGAUGUACAGAGCUCCUGUUGGUUAGAAAAUAGAAACACAUGGCGUUUUGGUUGAGGUUAUCUCCUGCUCUUAUGUGAACCACAAAAUAUUUCAUGUUGCUAACCUGUAUUUACUACGAAUGUAUUCAUCGCUUUAGAUUACUAAAAUGUUCAUAUAAACAAAAGCAGUAAUUUGGAUAGUAGCUACCAAUAAUAUGGAUUACUUUUACAAAUACCCCCUGAAAUUCUACAAACCAACCCAUUGUCCAACGCAUUUCUCUGUCCCGCCUCCCUUCGGGCCUACACCAUCUUCGUCCCCAACCUUCCUCCCCACACCGCCUCCUGGACCCUCCCCGUGACCUGGCCCCUUGAAAUUAUGUAUUGGUUGUUGCCAGAGAAUUUAUAAGAUUGAGAUCGUUAAUAUGUGGUAUUUGUUUUUAUGUAAUCGUUGUGCACUAAUAUUUUUUUUGAAUAUUUUGUUUGCCGUUGCAACACACGGGCACUUGACUAGUUAGCAGUAAAAUACGAGAGCAUGAGGUUACCAACCACUAUAACCUAGAAUGGAUGGAGGACAAAGACCUUCUAAAAAUAGUAUAAAGCAAGAACAGAGAAAGAGACUGAGAAUAAAGCGACAAGUGUUAAUAGGGUUAGUGAAAGUCGCCUAGAGGGGGGUGAAUAGGCAAAUCUAAAAUUUAUAAAGUUUAAGCAUAACUACAAGCCGGGGUUAGCGUUAGAAAUAUAAUCGAGUCCGAAAGAGAGGGCGAAAACAAAUCACAAACGAAUAAGAGCGGAUGACACGGUGAUUUGUUUUACCGAGGUUCAGUUCUUGCAAACCUACUCCCCGUUGAGGUGGUCACAAAGACCGGGUCUCUUUCAACCCUUUCCCUCUCUCAAACGGUCACUUAGACCGAGUGAGCUUCCUUCCUUGAUUUCCUGGGUCACUUAGACCCUGCAAGGACCACCACACAAUUGGUGUCUCUUGCUUUGCUUACAAGGCUUUGAGAGUAAGAAUGAGAGAAAGAAGAAAGCCAACCAAGCAACAAGAACAACAAAAGAACACAAGUCGAUCUUCUCACAAGUCCUAAAAACUAGAGUUGAAUUGUGGACUUUGAUUUGAUUGGAGGCUUUGAUUUGUGUCUUGGAGUGUUGUGUAUUGCUCUUGUAUUGAAUGAGGAGUAGUGAAUGCUUGGAUUGCCUUGAAGAGUGGUGGUUGGGGGGUAUUUAUAGCCCGAACCACCAAAAUAGCCAUUGGGGAACUCUGAUGUCGAUGGGCGCACCGGACUGUCCAGUGCACCACCGGACACUGUCCGGUGCGCCAGCCAUGCACCCAACUGUUAGGGUUCGACCGUUGGAGCUUUUGACAUGUGGGCCACCGGAUAGUCCGGUGGUGCACCGGACAGGUCCUGUUCACUGUCCGGUGCGCCUUCUGGCGCCUGCUCUGACUUCUGCGUGCGUAGUUGCACUGUUCACUAUAGACUUUUGCAGACGACCGUUGGCACAGUUAGCCGUUGCUCCGCUGGCACACCGGACAGUUCGGUGCUACACCGAACAGUCCGGUGAAUUAUAGCGGAGUGGCUCCCAGAAUUCCCGAAGGUGGCAAGUUUGGAGUUGAUCUCCCUGGUGCACCGGACACUGUCCGGUGGCACACAUGACAAUCCUGUGCGCCAGACCAGGGCAGCCUUCGGUUGUCUUUUUGCUCUUUUUUUAACCCUUUCUUGGACUUUUAUUGGUUUGUGUUGAACCUUUGGCACCUGUAGAACUUAUAAUCUAGAGCAAACUAGUUAGUCCAAUUAUUUGUGUUGGGCAAUUCAACCACCAAAAUCAAUUAGGAAAAUGUGUGAGCCUAUUUCCCUUUCAGUUAGGGCACCGAGGAAGCUAUAUAUACAACAUUGAUAUUUAGUCCCAUUUGGUGGCGGUGCCCGGGACUCAAGGUCAACCUCUUGUUAUGGUUAGAUCCACCAACUAGGACUAAAGACCCUCCUACAAAAGUUUGUGAUGUUGGUUGUUGGACCGAAGAUUUUAGCCCUAGUUGGUGGCUCCAACCAAUACUAAAGCUCCAUUAGUCUUGGGUCUAACUAUGUCAAGGACUAAAAAGACACAAGUCUAUUCUCUACUAAUGUAUGAACCAUUAUGCUAAAUGUAGUUUUAAUCAUUUUAUUUUGUCAUAAAUUGUUAUCAUUUAUUGUGAUGUAUUGGCUUAAUGUUUUGCUCUCAUUACAACAUAAGGAUAUUAGCCUAACAAUAAACUAUGCAUGGUGUCGGGUACCUAGGAUUCGGGUGCCCGAAGAAGGCCCAAAAGGCCUCCCAAAGACGACCCACUAAUCGACCAGCCCGCCUGCCUAGUAACUCGGCGAGGUGGCCCAAAAGGCCUCCCGAAGACGACCGACCAACCCGCCCGUCGAGCAAAUCGGCGAGGCAGAGUUGACAACCAACCUGCCUGCCGAGCAAGUCGGUGAGGCGGAGUUGUCGACCAACCCGUCUACCGAGCAACAUGGUGAGGCGGAGUCAUUGUACAUCCACUUGGCGAGCAACCUUCUGGCAAGCAGACCCACAGGGGAAAGGGGCACUGACCCAGUACCAAUGAGCAAUGUCAGCACGACAAGGUAGACUAUCACCAAACCACGUUCGGGUCAUGGGAACUGAGCCAAAGGGACCUCUGUCAAACACGACCAUCAAUACAUUCUCAGAUGUGCCUGAAAGGGAAAUGUGCCCUUGGACCAUUUCUAUAAGUAUUCUGGUGAUUAGAUGUCCAACACACAUUGAGUAAGUUCUUAUGUGCCAAAUGAGUGAGAAGUGUGAAAUCAAGAACAAGGUAUGUUUCUAGACUUAGUGAAUUGUUUUUGAAUACUAACAUGGCUAUCUAAGUGCUAGAAACAGUGCCAAGAAAAGAAGAUUUGUAUUGGAGAAGAGUUGGCAAAGUACAACCAACACCAGCUCGGGUCUAGCACACCGGACUGUACGGUGGUGCAUCGGACAGUGUCCGGUGCCCCAGACUGGUCAACAGUGAACCGGCUGCUCUCGGGAAAAGAGAAAGGCGACGUGGCUAUAAUUCACCGGACUGUCCAGUGAGUCAACGGCGCCAGCAGCCAACGAUCGUUCGCGCGAUCAACGCGUGACAUGUGGUCCGCGCCAACGGUCGGUUGGGCACACCGGACUGUCCAGUGCGUCCGGUGCGCCAACCGGUCCCAUGGACCAACGGUCGGUUGCACCCGGUAUGGAAGGAAAUUGAGCACCGGACUGCUACAGUGGUUGUCCGGUGGUGCACCGGACUGUCCGGUGCACCACUCGAGAGAAGGCAAGAAUUGCCUACCAAAUUGAUGUCCAACGGCUCCUAGCUGCCUUAGGGAUAAAAAGAGACCCCUAGGAGCAUGGAGCAGACCACCAAGCUUACAAGAGACAUCCUAAGACACCUAUAUUAUGCAUUCAGGCAAUCAGAUAAUCGUUCUUGAGAUUUGAGCACUGUUCGAGUUGUAAACUCCUUGAGCUGUGUUUGUGUGCUCACCUCUUCACUUGUGUGCGUGUGUGUGCUGCGGAUUUGGGUCUUGCGUGUGUUGCACUCCCAUCCUUACUCUUGUGCUUUCUUUGUGAUCAUAACUUUGUAAGGGCGAGAGGCUCAAACUUGUGGAGAUUCCUCGCAAAUGGGAAGAAUACUCAAGAUAAAAGACUGUGGUAUUCAAGUCGAUCAAUGGAUCACUUGAAAGGGGUUGAGUGCAACCCUCGUCCAUAGGGAUGGCACAACGUGGAAGUAGGCAAGUGUUACUUGGCCGAACCACGGGAUAAAAAUCGCAUGUCUCGUGUGUUACUUUUCUAUGAUUGUUUUGUUCGCACGAGCUCAGUCCAUAGCCACUUGGUUACACUAACACUUUAAUAAUCAAGUUUGUGGCUAUUUAGUGUUUGAUUUUACAGGAUCACCUAUUCAUCCCCCUCUAGGUGCUCUCAAUUGGUAUCGGAGCCAUACUCUUCAUCUAAGGGACUAACCGCCCGAAGAGAUGGAUCCUAAGGGAAAGGGGAUGGUGGUCAACGACAAGGAAAAGGAGUCCAUCUUCAAUGAGCCAAGAGACGACAAGCCCACUGUAACACCCUGAAUUUGGGGGUAUAAAAUUUCUUUUCUAAUAUCCACCAAAUUCAGGUGUUACCCUCUAAAUCACUUGCUUUUCUUCUCUCUUUGUUGUUUCAAAAUAAUGGAGAGUUAUUUUAUUAUAUAUUUAUAUGUGAGUUUUUGGCGUAGUAAAAUAAAAUCCUAGAGAAACUUUGAUUAUUGCAUUCAAGUCGUUGCAAAGUGUUUAUGAGUGUAAAGGUUUUUCAAAACUACAUCGAAUAAUCUUGAUCUUGUUUCUGAAGGCUUUCAGGAACCUUCGAAACGUUCCUUCGAGUAUUAAUAUGAAUUUCAGUCUCUCUAAUUAUUAAUUAAGUACCUAAAUUUUUGUAUUUGCGAAAACUACAAAAAUCUUGGAAACACGAUAAUAUAUAUAUUUCUUCCUCUCGUCGAACCUGUUCCAAACCUCCUACCUUUUUCGCGAGAUCACCGAAUCACGUCUUCUCGCGAACAGCAUGCUGCCCGCGUCGGCUAUCCUCGUCAUUUUAGGUCCACAUGCCAGCUCUGGUCGCCUUCGUCUAAUUUGGUCUAACCCGCAUAAGUCAGUCUCUGUCCUACACUGUCUCGCGCAAUUGUAUUUUCCGCUCGGUCGCGACGCAAUUUGCGACGAAUUGAGCAACCAUCUCAUGUGCCUGUUUUUUUAUAUAUAAAUCCACCCGUCAUCGCAUAACCCCUCGUCUCGCCCAGAUCCAGAACGCAGGCGUGGAGGGCAGCUGUUACCAGGUACGCAGGCAUCCCUCUUCUUGUUUCCCAUUGCCAAAUUGCCUCCGAUUUCCCGAGACCCAGAUCACCCGAGCAUGCUCCUCAUCCCGGCGACGCACGUAAGCUUUCUCCUCUUCCCAGCGACACACUAUCUCGAAGCCUAUCGCCGACGAAUCCGUCCAGCCAAACCAUCCGUAGCCUCAUGCCCUCACUUCGUCGAAGCUCCUCGUUCAAGCAUGAUCCCAGGCCAUGGCCGACGUCCGCGCGUCCCAGCCCUCGCCGUUCCUCACAGUGCCUGCGAUGCUCAGCAGGGGGCGACCAUGGCGAGCCGCGGCCAGCCCGGCAUCCCUGCAAGCGACGCAGCCAAGCCUGGCCCGGCCAGCGCCAGGGCACGCCCCAACCUCCCUCUCGCAGUGCCCCCUCAAGAUCCAGCCACCCCUCUCCCACUUCUUCCCUCUCCCUUCUCCCUUGGGCACGGCAGCAGCAGUCCCAGGUCAUCCAUGGUGGCCAUCGGCGCGACCGCUAAUCCCCUUCCAUGAGCCCACCCUUGCCGAGCUCCUCCCUGGCCGGCCGUCGUCCUUCUCCCAUGGGCGAGCUCGCCCUGGGCCGCGACCAACACCCUCCCUCUGCGGCAGCAACUUCCCCCAUCCCCCCUCCAUUUUCCUGUAACCGUGAGGUUGAAGACAUGUGUGGCCACACAGGAUCCGACCUGCAGGAUCUUUUGUGACCGUAACCCAUGUGACCCUUUGCGCAGCUCCGUUGCCUAGCCAAUAGAUUUACAUCACGUCAAUCAAGUUCGCAAAUCAUAAGCAAUUAAUAUAUUUUACGUCCUAAAUUAUUUUCGACUUGGUUCGGAUGCGUUAAGUUUGUAACCAUGUCGAUUACGUGUUAAUAACAUUAUUUUGUCGCGACAUAAGUUCAAUUAAUUAAUUAAUUUUUGGUUUGUACGUUGUUUAUUAAAGUAGCCAUUUGACUAAAACUAAUUCAUAGCUUUAUGCAUUAACUUGAUUAAUACCAACUCAAAUAUUUCGAUUCAAUAAUUGGUAGUGUAAUCACAUUAUUUGUUAGCGAUUAUCACGCGUCGUCGCACUAUCUGUGUGAUGUUCGCGCAUGAUGUUCUUGUGGCGCACGUGCUGUUCGCGCAAGUCGUUGCACGUUGUUCGCAUGUCGUUUACUCGUCAUCGUCAUACCUUCGCGCGAUCGCGCCACGAGUAUGGUUCACGUGUUGUCGCGCGCUGUUCGCGCGCGUCGUUAGUCACAUGGUCACGUGUUGCCGUGUUCGCGGUCCGUGUGCUCCUUCGCGCGUGCCGCAGGGUUGUUUCACUUGUCGUCGCGUGUGCGAAUUCACACUGUUCGCUCGCGUCGCCGCUCACAUAAAUUGCUAUUCAGACGCUUUGAUAAAAUCGUUUUGCCGCAUUGUUCAUGUUAAAUAAUUAAUUUCUUCUUUAGCGCCGGUUAGUUAAAAUAAUAGUUCGAUCGAACCUGUUAAGCGAUUAUGCCGACUUAGACGUUAUAUUCAAUAUCUGAUUAAUAUAAAACAAUAUAAUUUAGUGGUACCCGUAUGUCGUGUCGUUUAUAAAUUUAGUAUAUGUUUAAAUAUAGUGAGUCCUAUGCAUCGUGUUCAUAAAUAUAAUCUGACCAGUUUAAAAUGUGGUUUCCGAUCAAAUUACAAUCCCAAUUAAUGCCACAUUAGAUAUUUCUUUAGAGUAUCCUCCGUAAACGAUCUAUACUAAUUAGAAUCGGCCUAGAACAUAGAUUACACGUUUAUUAUGCAAACCUUCUGACAACCAUACCGUCUCAACCAUAGUUUCGAUUUUAGUGUUUAUUUCCUCGCGUGACUGUAGAAGCGAUCUCUAUUUCAUAGUACACGUUUUCAUAAUGGUUUCCAUUGUAUGGUGUAAUGUUCUUAUGCCAGUAUAUGUUUGUUUGUCUAUGUCUGUUCGUAUUCGCUGCGCGUCGCGAAUAGAUUGCAAUCUAUUCCCGAGCUUCGAGGAAUCGACGAUCAAGAUUUGGUGAACCACCGGUCCUGAGAUCAAGCUCUUCGAGUCCAAUGAGAUCGAAGACCCUGAGCAUCUGUUUGGUGAAGGCAAGUGUCCUCUGACCCAUUAUGUCCCAUUUACUUUAUAAUACACUGUCCCGCAUACUAUGAACAACCUAAGGAUUUACUAGCUUUCUAUUUACCUGGUCCUUGAUUACCUUUUGGGCUACUAUGGUUAGCUUCAUGCUAGCGCUUUACUUUAAUCAAUGAACAUGAUGAGAUACAAUGAUGAUACUAUGGUUUUAUUCUGGAUAUGAUGAUUUACUUGUGACAUUUAAGGGGGCUCGAGCGGUUUCUCGAGUGCCUCUCCGUAAGGACCUGUUCGUUGAGAGACCACCCGGGAUAAUAGUGCAACCAUGAGGGUGGAAUGGGGUGCCCUUAGCUAAUUAAUUAGAGGAACUAGAGGUGUAGUCGCUUCGCCGUCGUGCCGUUAAUGGGGUCCAGGCACAGUGCUUGCUCUGCCGAGGCGGGGUGCCGAGGUCCUUUCGUUUUGCUUUUGUUAGUCACCCUCCUGCAGGGAGGAGUACUGUGUUUAUCAAACUGGAGAAACCUAACGGGCGGCUAUGACCUCUAGGGAAUCUUUGUAAAAGCUACGUAGUGAUACCCUGCCGGACCACCUAGGAAGUGAUCAAUGGGGAGUCAUGAUCCCCGGGCAAAAUGGGAAUCACGGCUCAUGGGUAAAGUGUGCGACCUCUGCAGAGGGUAGUGAAACUGAUAUAUCAGCCGUGCUCACGGUUAAGAGCGGCCUUGGGAUCCUCUUUGAUUAGAGAUACAGAUGGUUCAAUAUACAAUGGUUCUAUUUAUGGUUUUGGCUCGAUGAUGAUAAUGAUGUUCCUCGAGGAGGAAAUGGUUCACGGGUUGGCUAUUACUAAAACUUGGCUUCCACUAAUAAUAAAUAUCUGACCAACUAAAAGCAACUGCUUGAGCUUAACCCCGCAUAAAGCUAGUCCACUACAGCCAAACGGGACAUUUGCUGAGUACGUUGAUGUGUACUCACCCUUGCUUUCACAAAACACCAGGUUGCCUUUGGUGUAAUCUAUGCUCAGGUAAAGAAGAAGUCGUCGAGGCGGAUCUCCAGGAGUUCCAGGACUUCGACGAGUCCGAGGAUUAGGCUAGCGACCUCCCCCAGUCAGCUGCCUGUGGUGGGUUGUUUACGUUGGCUACGUUUCGAUUCUGUGUACUUUGAUUUAUAUUAUGUAAAUGGCUCUAGUCUGUAAUAUUAUUACUUACUCUUUAUUGUAAUUCGAAGCAUUGUGCUAUGAUGAGUCAUUUAUGUAAUCGCUGUGUACGUGAAUAACUGAUCCUGGCACGUACAUGGUUCGCAUUCGGUUUACCUUCUAAAACCGGGUGUGACAUAAGUGGUAUCAAAGCCGUGCUGACUGUAGGACCGCUAGCCUAGAGUAGCAUUGGCCGUUUUAAGGACUUAUUGAUUAUUACUUCACCUCAUCCUUGAUUCUGCUUCAAAAUAUUAGUCACCUCGACUAAUUCUACGUUAUGAUUCUAUAUAUCACCUUGCUAAAUGUAUUUUAUUCCAGUAUCAUCAAUGCUUUACUCAUUCAUUCUAUUAGAUCUGAUCUCACCCUUGUGCUUGCGACAUCUUUGUAGAUGACCCCUGACCAUAGCCUUUGUAUUUUGGGAUUCUAUCCUCUUCCAGUAUUAAAGUGCUACCAUUUGACCAUCCCUAUUCCCUUGGUAUUGACAUGAUUGUACCCCUAGAUUCUUCAAUACUCUUGUUUCAAAUACUUACCUCUGAAAACUCUAUUGUCUAUUUAAACAUUCCAGUUUAUAUGUCCAUGAAUUUCUUGUCCUCUGAAAUCCCUUCUUAUUCCGUUGUUAAGAUUGUUAUCCUUUGCCUUUUCUAUUCCCUUGUCCUGGUAUGCCUGUACCCUUAGGGUAUUGCAUACUCUUGUCUUUCUAGAUCUGCUUAUCUUUAUACCCUAAUGUUUGUUUAUAAACACUUCAGUUAAUAUGCCCUUGACCACCUUUGUUUCUUCAUGAUCCAUGAGCGGUCAUUUUAUUUUGCAUAUCCUUGGUAAUCUUGUUGUCUCCUUGUAACUCCACUUGGUAAUUAAUUUUCUUUACUUCAACCAUUCUGUUGCAACCUUACCUAUCUUACCCUUGACUGUUUUCUCCACUUCGCCACCUAGCGAGUCUUGCCUGAACUCUAUCCUUGUGCUUUUCAUUAUUAUCACCUUAACCUUUGACACCUCUAUAUCUUACUUGAUGUUUGUCUCAUACCUGCCCUUUAAAAUCACCUCUCUCCCGUCUUAUUCUGAGAGCUAUACUUUACCUAUCUUUACCUUGGUCACAUCCUCUUCUUUGGCUUGCGAGUUUGUAACUUCGUCCUUUGCUGUGCUUUUGUUUGUUACUGCAUCCACCUAUCCCAUCUCUCAAUCUUACCUUGGUGAUUACAUUAUUUUUUGUUAUCUAAAAUCUCCAAUCUCCUAUCCCAAUUUGAGAACGGUGUUUUACUUAUCUCAUCCUUGGCAAUAUCCUAUUCUUUACCGCGUGUAAGCCAUGACAUACCUCCAUUCUUUAUUGUACUUAUACCACUAGCUCUUAUAUGCCUUCACCUUUUCUCCUAUACUCUUGUCUGUUAUUGCCUUUGACCCUUGCGAUAUUUAUGUCAUCUACCUAAAUGCUUACCUUAAACUUAUCCUUUAAAAUCCUCUCCUUUAUUUUGAGAAAGUUUGAGAGUUGCGAGUUACCUAUCUCUCCCUUGAUUUCUUCUCACUUCUUGUCGCCUUACAAGUUUUGUGUUAAUUCCAUCCUUUGCGGUGUUUUUAUUUGCUACCACCAUCACCUUGUCAUCCAUCGAUCUUGCCUUGAUACUCAUCUUUAUUAAUACUCUUCAAAAAUCUCCUCUCUUCCACCUCAAUUUGAGAGCGACAAUUCACCUAUCUGGCCCUUCGACGUACCCUCUCCUUUUCCAUUUGAUGGUCCGGUCUUAACUUCUUUAUUUAUGGUACUUAUAUCCUCCGUCUUAUGCCUAUUUACCUCCUCUCAUACAUCCUUGUCCGUUAUUACCUUUAAAACCCUCGUGAUAUCUAUGCCCUUGCCUUCCUGCUUACCUUGAACCUACCCUUUGAAGCCCUCUCUUUUCCAUCACUGUUCAAGGAUAAUGCCUAAUCUAUUUCACCAUUGACUGCUCCCCCUUCUUUGACACCUUGCAAGUCUUGUCUAAAAUACAUCUUUUAUUGUGUGUUUGUUCAUUAUCACCUUAACCCUUGUCAUCCCUCGAUCGUUACCUUGAUGCUUAUCUUGUACCUGCAUUUUAAGGCCGCCUCUCCAAUUUCAUUUCAAGAGUGAUGUCUUACCCAUCCCGCUCUUUUUCUUUCCCUUUUCCUCUGUCGCGUUGCAAGUAUUAGCUUUUGCUCGAUAUCACCCUUACCUUUGUAAUAUCUAGAUCUUUCCAUGAUGCUUAUAUUAUGCCUACCAUUUGACUCAUCAUCUUUCCCAUCUCGAUUUGAGAAUUGUGUUUUACCUAUCCUGACCUUGGUUGCAUUCUCUCCCUGUCGGUUCCAAUCCUUGCUUUAGCUCCAUCCUUUAUUAUGCUCAUGCCCCUAUCAUACAUUUCUUAUUAUUCCCCUUGCCUUUCGAUGGCCUUAGAAUAGUUUCCCCUUGGUAAGGAAAGACCACCAUUUAAUUAAAAGUUACGUAUAGCAACGAGAUGUUUGUUGUUGUAUGCUUGUGUUGUUUGUCUUUGUGUUAUGACUGAUUUGCUUCUUCGUGAUGAGUGUUGGUGUGUUGUGGCCCUUGGUCCACAAUGGAAUCUGUUUACUAGGUGAAUGCCAUAGAGUUAAGUAUUUGGGUUCUCCCCCUGCUCUCUCUAAUCCGUCUAUACCUACCUUUUCUCGCUAUUCUUUCCUCUUGCACCUGUCCAUUUGGCAACCUCCAACUCCUCCAAAUCAGUCAAGAUCAGAGUCGGCAGCAUCUUCACCAAGUGCAUAUCAACACUCCUAUUAAGGGGGUUAGCCGCUAACCCCAAUGAAGACAAUGCGAUCAACAUCAGCCAACAAGAUCAAAGUGGCGCAGCGGAAGCGUGUGUGGGGUCCUAACCCACAGGUCUAAGAGAUCCUCAAGAAUUGCAUCCAUCGGUCUCAAGCAUCUAAAGGUCAAAGCAACCAGUCCGCAAGUUAAACUAGCAGAGUCAAAGUUAACUCAAAAAAAGUAGUGAACCACCCAUGAACCGACCUUGUUUUUCUUGCUAUCUUCUUCUUGAAUCUCGGGGCGAGAUUCCUGUUAAGGGGGUUAGAUUUGUAACACCCUGAAUUUGGGGGUAUAAAAUUUCUUUUCUAAUAUCCACCAAAUUCAGGUGUUACCCUCUAAAUCACUUGCUUUUCUUCUCUCUUUGUUGUUUCAAAAUAAUGGAGAGUUAUUUUAUUAUAUAUUUAUAUGUGAGUUUUUGGCGUAGUAAAAUAAAAUCCUAGAGAAACUUUGAUUAUUGCAUUCAAGUCGUUGCAAAGUGUUUAUGAGUGUAAAGGUUUUUCAAAACUACAUCGAAUAAUCUUGAUCUUGUUUCUGAAGGCUUUCAGGAACCUUCGAAACGUUCCUUCGAGUAUUAAUAUGAAUUUCAGUCUCUCUAAUUAUUAAUUAAGUACCUAAAUUUUUGUAUUUGCGAAAACUACAAAAAUCUUGGAAACACGAUAAUAUAUAUAUUUCUUCCUCUCGUCGAACCUGCUCCAAACCUCCUACCUUUUUCGCGAGAUCACCGAAUCACGUCUUCUCGCGAACAGCAUGCUGCCCGCGUCGGCUAUCCUCGUCAUUUUAGGUCCACAUGCCAGCUCUGGUCGCCUUCGUCUAAUUUGGUCUAACCCGCAUAAGUCAGUCUCUGUCCUACACUGUCUCGCGCAAUUGUAUUUUCCGCUCGGUCGCGACGCAAUUUGCGACGAAUUGAGCAACCAUCUCAUGUGCCCGUUUUUUUAUAUAUAAAUCCACCCGUCAUCGCAUAACCCCUCGUCUCGCCCAGAUCCAGAACGCAGGCGUGGAGGGCAGCUGUUACCAGGUACGCAGGCAUCCCUCUUCUUGUUUCCCAUUGCCAAAUUGCCUCCGAUUUCCCGAGACCCAGAUCACCCGAGCAUGCUCCUCAUCCCGGCGACGCACGUAAGCUUUCUCCUCUUCCCAGCGACACACUAUCUCGAAGCCUAUCGCCGACGAAUCCGUCCAGCCAAACCAUCCGUAGCCUCAUGCCCUCACUUCGUCGAAGCUCCUCGUUCAAGCAUGAUCCCAGGCCAUGGCCGACGUCCGCGCGUCCCAGCCCUCGCCGUUCCUCACAGUGCCUGCGAUGCUCAGCAGGGGGCGACCAUGGCGAGCCGCGGCCAGCCCGGCAUCCCUGCAAGCGACGCAGCCAAGCCUGGCCCGGCCAGCGCCAGGGCACGCCCCAACCUCCCUCUCGCAGUGCCCCCUCAAGAUCCAGCCGCCCCUCUCCCACUUCUUCCCUCUCCCUUCUCCCUUGGGCACGGCAGCAGCAGUCCCAGGUCAUCCAUGGUGGCCAUCGGCGCGACCGCUAAUCCCCUUCCAUGAGCCCACCCUUGCCGAGCUCCUCCCUGGCCGGCCGUCGUCCUUCUCCCAUGGGCGAGCUCGCCCUGGGCCGCGACCAACACCCUCCCUCUGCGGCAGCAACUUCCCCCAUCCCCCCUCCAUUUUCCUGUAACCGUGAGGUUGAAGACAUGUGUGGCCACACAGGAUCCGACCUGCAGGAUCUUUUGUGACCGUAACCCAUGUGACCCUUUGCGCAGCUCCGUUGCCUAGCCAAUAGAUUUACAUCACGUCAAUCAAGUUCGCAAAUCAUAAGCAAUUAAUAUAUUUUACGUCCUAAAUUAUUUUCGACUUGGUUCGGAUGCGUUAAGUUUGUAACCAUGUCGAUUACGUGUUAAUAACAUUAUUUUGUCGCGACAUAAGUUCAAUUAAUUAAUUAAUUUUUGGUUUGUACGUUGUUUAUUAAAGUAGCCAUUUGACUAAAACUAAUUCAUAGCUUUAUGCAUUAACUUGAUUAAUACCAACUCAAAUAUUUCGAUUCAAUAAUUGGUAGUGUAAUCACAUUAUUUGUUAGCGAUUAUCACGCGUCGUCGCACUAUCUGUGUGAUGUUCGCGCAUGAUGUUCUUGUGGCGCACGUGCUGUUCGCGCAAGUCGUUGCACGUUGUUCGCAUGCCGUUUACUCGUCAUCGUCAUACCUUCGCGCGAUCGCGCCACGCGUAUGGUUCACGUGUUGUCGCGCGCUGUUCGCGCGCGUCGUUAGUCACAUGGUCACGUGUUGCCGUGUGCGCGGUCCGUGUGCUCCUUCGCGCGUGCCGCAGGGUUGUUUCACUUGUCGUCGCGUGUGCGAAUUCACACUGUUCGCUCGCGUCGCCGCUCACAUAAAUUGCUAUUCAGACGCUUUGAUAAAAUCGUUUUGCCGCAUUGUUCAUGUUAAAUAAUUAAUUUCUUCUUUAGCGCCGGUUAGUUAAAAUAAUAGUUCGAUCGAACCUGUUAAGCGAUUAUGCCGACUUAGACGUUAUAUUCAAUAUCUGAUUAAUAUAAAACAAUAUAAUUUAGUGGUACCCGUAUGUCGUGUCGUUUAUAAAUUUAGUAUAUGUUUAAAUAUAGUGAGUCCUAUGCAUCGUGUUCAUAAAUAUAAUCUGACCAGUUUAAAAUGUGGUUUCCGAUCAAAUUACAAUCCCAAUUAAUGCCACAUUAGAUAUUUCUUUAGAGUAUCCUCCGUAAACGAUCUAUACUAAUUAGAAUCGGCCUAGAACAUAGAUUACACGUUUAUUAUGCAAACCUUCUGACAACCAUACCGUCUCAACCAUAGUUUCGAUUUUAGUGUUUAUUUCCUCGCGUGACUGUAGAAGCGAUCUCUAUUUCAUAGUACACGUUUUCAUAAUGGUUUCCAUUGUAUGGUGUAAUGUUCUUAUGCCAGUAUAUGUUUGUUUGUCUAUGUCUGUUCGUAUUCGCUGCGCGUCGCGAAUAGAUUGCAAUCUAUUCCCGAGCUUCGAGGAAUCGACGAUCAAGAUUUGGUGAACCACCGGUCCUGAGAUCAAGCUCUUCGAGUCCAACGAGAUCGAAGACCCUGAGCAUCUGUUUGGUGAAGGCAAGUGUCCUCUGACCCAUUAUGUCCCAUUUACUUUAUAAUACACUGUCCCGCAUACUAUGAACAACCUAAGGAUUUACUAGCUUUCUAUUUACCUGGUCCUUGAUUACCUUUUGGGCUACUAUGGUUAGCUUCAUGCUAGCGCUUUACUUUAAUCAAUGAACAUGAUGAGAUACAAUGAUGAUACUAUGGUUUUAUUCUGGAUAUGAUGAUUUACUUGUGACAUUUAAGGGGGCUCGAGCGGUUUCUCGAGUGCCUCUCCGUAAGGACCUGUUCGUUGAGAGACCACCCGGGAUAACAGUGCAACCAUGAGGGUGGAAUGGGGUGCCCUUAGCUAAUUAAUUAGAGGAACUAGAGGUGUAGUCGCUUCGCCGUCGUGCCGUUAAUGGGGUCCAGGCACAGUGCUUGCUCUGCCGAGGCGGGGUGCCGAGGUCCUUUCGUUUUGCUUUUGUUAGUCACCCUCCUGCGGGGAGGAGUACUGUGUUUAUCAAACUGGAGAAACCUAACGGGCGGCUAUGACCUCUAGGGAAUCUUUGUAAAAGCUACGUAGUGAUACCCUGCCGGACCACCUAGGAAGUGAUCAAUGGGGAGUCAUGAUCCCCGGGCAAAACGGGAAUCACGGCUCAUGGGUAAAGUGUGCGACCUCUGCAGAGGGUAGUGAAACUGAUAUAUCAGCCGUGCUCAUGGUUAAGAGCGGCCUUGGGAUCCUCUUUGAUUAGAGAUACAGAUGGUUCAAUAUACAAUGGUUCUAUUUAUGGUUUUGGCUCGAUGAUGAUAAUGAUGUUCCUCGAGGAGGAAAUGGUUCACGGGUUGGCUAUUACUAAAACUUGGCUUCCACUAAUAAUAAAUAUCUGACCAACUAAAAGCAACUGCUUGAGCUUAACCCCGCAUAAAGCUAGUCCACUACAGCCAAACGGGACAUUUGCUGAGUACGUUGAUGUGUACUCACCCUUGCUUUCACAAAACACCAGGUUGCCUUUGGUGUAAUCUAUGCUCAGGUAAAGAAGAAGUCGUCGAGGCGGAUCUCCAGGAGUUCCAGGACUUCGACGAGUCCGAGGAUUAGGCUAGCGACCUCCCCCAGUCAGCUGCCUGUGGUGGGUUGUUUACGUUGGCUACGUUUCGAUUCUGUGUACUUUGAUUUAUAUUAUGUAAAUGGCUCUAGUCUGUAAUAUUAUUACUUACUCUUUAUUGUAAUUCGAAGCAUUGUGCUAUGAUGAGUCAUUUAUGUAAUCGCUGUGUACGUGAAUAACUGAUCCUGGCACGUACAUGGUUCGCAUUCGGUUUACCUUCUAAAACCGGGUGUGACACCCACUGACUCAGGCUCGAGUCACAAGAAGAGGGAUGAGAAGAAGAAGAGACACAUCAAGAAGAUCAUCUACUACGACAUCGAUGCAUCUUCCUCUUCACCAAGGGACAACAACUCCUCGUCCAAGAAAAGACGGUUAAUCAAAACUAUUCCUUGAUUAUUCCCGUAUUCCGUAUAAUUUGAAUGCCCAUUUACUUUCUAUUCCUCUUGGAAAACCCCCACACUUUGAUGGAGAUGAUUACUCAUUUUGGAGCCAUAAAAUGCGUAGUCAACUAUUUUCUCUCCAUCCUAGCAUUUGGGAAAUUAUGGAAAAUGGGAUGCAUUUUGAUAGUACGGAUAAUCCUGUGCUUAUUAAUGAACAAAUUCAUAAAAUGCCCAAGCUACUACUACUAGCGUCACUUUACAGGGAUGAGUAUAAUAAAGUGAGUGGCCUGGACAAUGCUAAGCAAAUCUAAGAAACCCUCAAGAUAUCUCAUGAGGGAAACGACGCCACUAUGAUCACCAAGAUGGAACUAGUGGAAGGCGAGCUGGGGAGGUUCGCGAUGAUCAGGGGAGAGGAGCCAACAUAGACCUACAACAGACUCAAGACCCUGGUCAACAAAAUCCGAAGCUACAGGAGCACCAGAUGGACGGAUCAUGACGUUGUCCGACUCAUGCUCAGGUCAUUUACCGUUAUUGACCCCCAUCUUGUCAACCUUAUUUGUGAAAACCCCAGGUACACCAAGAUGACGCCCGAGGAGAUCCUUGGAAAAUUUGUGAGAAAGCGCAUGAUGGUGAAGGAGGCGCGAUACGUGGACGAUGCACUAAAUGGUCCACUACCCGUCUACGAGCCGCAGCCCGUUGCUCUCAAAGCAACGGGCAGCAGGGAGGCACUACCAAGCAAGGUAGCACAAGUGGAGGUUGUCAGGCUCAACGAGGACGAAAUGGCGCUCAUCAUCAAGUGCUUCAAAACCACCUUGAAAGGACGCAAGGAAUACCCCAACAAGAAUAAAACAAGGGGAAAGCGCUCCUGCUUCAAAUGCGGUAAGACUGGUCAUUUCAUAGCAUAAUGCCCCGAUAAUGAUAAUGACCAGUGACAAGAAAAGCACGGGAAGAGGGAGAAGAAGAAGAACAAUAGGAAGGCGAAGGGCGAGGCGCACCUUGGAAAGGAAUGGGAUUCUGACUGCUCUUCAUCCGACUCCGAUGAUGAAGGAUUGGCUGCCUCAGCCUUCGACAAAUCUUCGCUCUUCCCCAAUGAACAUUGAAAGGGAAAUAGGGUCAAACCUUUUCCUAAAUGAUUUUGGUGGUUGAAAUGCCCAACACAAAUAAUUGGACUAACUAGUUUGCUCUAGAUUAUAUGUUCUACGGGUGCCAAAGGUUCAACACAAACCAAUAAAAAGAUACGAGUUAGGGUUCAAAAGAAAGGAGCAAAGGAAACCGAAGAGAACCCUGGUCUGGCGCACCGGACUGUCCGGUGUGCCACCAGACAGUGUUCGGUGCACCAGGGUGGAUCGACUUCAAACCUUUCACCUUCGGGUUUCUAGAAAAGCCACUCCGCUAUAAUUCACCGGACUGUCCGGUGUACCACCGGACUGUCCGGUGUGCCAGCGGAGCAACGACUCCAGCGCAACGGUCGACUCCAACGGACACCUGCAAAAGCGCUAUAGUGCGCGGACAGUUACAUAGAGUCAGAGCAGGCGCCAGAAGGCGCACCGAACAAUGAACAGUACCCGUCCGGUGCGGCACUAGACUGUCCGGUGCACCAAGAUGUCAGAGCUCCAACGAUCGAAACCGUCAGAACCCUAACGGUUGGGUGACAUGACUAGCGCACCGGACCGUCCGAUGCGCCCAUCGACAGCAGCCCUCCCCAACGGUUGUUUUGGUGGUUGGGGCUAUAAAUACCCCCAACCACCUCUAUUCAAGGCAUCCAAGUUGUCAGCCGUUGCAUUCAAUACAAGAGCUCUAGACUUCACUCCAAGACACAAACAAGAGAUCAAAUCCUCUCCCAAGUCCAAAAUCACUCCAAACACUUAGUGACUAGUGAGAGAGAGAUUUUCGUGUUCAUUUUAGUUCUUGUCGCUUGGAUCGCUUUUCUUCUUCCCCAUUCUUGUUCCCAAGACACUUGUAAUCAAAGCAAGAGACACCAAUUGUGUGGUGGUCCUUGUGGGGUCAAAGUGACCCAUUUGAUUGAGGAGAAAAGCUCACUCGGUCUAGGUGACCGUUUGAGAGAGGGAAAGGGUUGAAAGAGACCCGGUCUUUGUGACCACCUCAACGGGGAGUAGGUUUGCAAGAACCGAACCUCGGUAAAACAAAUCACCGUGUCACUCGCUUAUUUCUUGGUUGAUUUGUUUUCGCCCUCUCUUUUGGACUCGGUUUUAUUUCUAACGCUAACCCAGCUUGUAGUUGUGCUUAAAGUUUAUAAAUUUCAGAUUUUCCUAUUCACCCCCUCUAGGCGACUUUCAAUUGGUAUCAGAGCCGAUACUUCAUUAGAGUCUAACCACUCGAAGUGAUGUCGGGAGGAUCCGCCAAGAGGGAGAUGGAAACAAACACAAGCCACGAGAAAGCUCCAUUGAAGGAGUCCGGUGCCAAAGGAAGGGACGAAUCACCUCCCCGCAUCAAGUCACAUCGGAGUGGCGACAAGAAGAAGAAGAAGAUGAAGAAAGUGGUCUACUACGAGACCGACUCUUCGUCGCCAUCCACCUCUGGCUCCGACGCUCUGUUCGUCACUUCUAAGCACCAUGAGCGCAAGAAGUUUAGUAAGAUCCCCUUACGCUAUCCUCGCAUUUCUAAACAUACUCCAUUACUUUCCGUCCCAUUAGGCAAACCACCGGUUUUGACGGUGAAGAUUAUUAUAUGUGAAGUGAUAAAAUGAGGCAUCACCUAACCUCACUUCACUCUAGCAUUUGGGACAUUAUUGAGUUUGGAGCGAAUGUACCAUCCGUAGGGGAUGAAGGAUAUGAUUCGGACGAAGUUGCCCAAAUCCGACACUUCAACUCCCAAGCCACUACUAUACUCCUCGCCUCUCUAAGUCGAGAGGAGUAUAAUAAGGUGCAAGGGUUGAAGAGUGCCAAACAGAUUUGGGACGUGCUCAAGACCGUGCACGAAGGGGAUGAGGUGACAAAGAUCACCAAGCGAAAUACGAUCGAGGGGGAGCUCGGUUGGUUCGUCCUCAACCAAGGAGAGGGGCCACAAGCCACGUACAAGCGGCUCAAGACCUUGGUGAAUCAAGUGCGCAACCUCGGGAGCACAAAAUGGGAUGACCAUGAAAUUGUCAAGGUUAUUCUAAGAUCACUUGUUUUUCUUAAUCCUACACAAGUUCAAUUAAUUCGUGGUGAUCCUAGAUACAAGCUAAUGUCUCCCGAGGAGGUUAUAGGAAAGUUUGUGAGCUUUGAAUUGAUGAUCAAAGGCUCCAAACAAAUCAUCGAGCGAGGCGCCACCUCCACACCCGAGGUGCAACCUGUCGCAUUCAAAGCGACGGAGGAAAAGAAAGAAGAGUCUACGUCAAGUAGGCUCCCCAUCGACGCCUCCAAGCUCGACAACGAGGAAAUGGCGCUCAUCAUCAAGAGUUUUCGCCAAAUCCUCAAACAAAGGAGGGGGAAAGACUACAAGCCCCGCUCCAAGAAAGUGCGCUACAAGUGUGGUAAGCCCGGUCAUUUAUUGCUAAAUGUUCAUUAUCAAGUGAUAGUGACAGGGGCGACGACAAGAAGGGAAGGAGGAAGGAAAAGAAGAAGUACUACAAAAAGAAGGGCGGCGAUGCCCACGUGUGUCGGGAAUGGGACUCCGAUGAGAGCUCCACCGACUCCUCCUCCGACGAGGACACCACCAACUUAGCCGUCAUCAAAGGCCUCCUCUUCCCCAACGUCGGCCACAAGUGCCUCAUGGCAAAGGACGGCAAAAAGAAGAAGGUAAAAUCUAGAGCCUCCACUAAAUAUGCAACAUCUAGUGAUGAGGAUAUCUCUAGCGAUGAUGAGGAUAAUUUGCUUGCCCUUUUUGCCAACCUAAACAUGCAACAAAAGGAAAAAUUGAAUUCAUUGAUAGGUGCCAAUCAUGAGAAGGAUGAACUCUUGGAUAGCCAAGAGGAAUUCCUUAUUAAAGAAAAUAAAAAACAUGUUAAGGUAAAAAAUGCAUAUGCUCAGGAAGUAGAGAAAAAUGAACACUUAUUUAGUGAGCUUAACAUUUGCCAUGACACUAUCUCUAACCUUAGAAUUGAAAAUGCCAAAUUAAUUGCUAAGGUUGAGAAAUUAAAUGUUUGUGAUGAUUCUCUUGUCAACUUUAAAAUGAUAAUGCUAGUUUGAUUGCUAAGAUUGACAAGUUGAAUGAAUCAAUGUCUAGCCUUAAGAUUGAGAAUGAUAAACUAAUUUCUAAGGCUAAAGAUGUAAAUGUUUGCAAUGUUUCUAUUUCUAAUCUUAGAAAUGAGAAUGCCAUGUUACAUGCUAAGAUUCAUGAAUUAAAUGCUUGCAAACCCUCUACAUCGACUGGCGAUCAUGUUUCUAUUUGCAUGAGAUGUAGAAAUAUUAAUGUUGAUGCUAUCCAUGAUCACAUUUCUAUGAUUAAACAACAAAAUGAUCAUAUAACUAAACUAGAUACUAAAAUUGUCGAGCAUGAAUUAGAAAAUGAAAAAUUUAAAUUUGCUCGUAGCAUGCUUUAUAAUGGGAGACGCCCUAGCAUUAAGGAUGGCAUUGGCUUCCAACAGGGAGAUAAUGUCAAGCUUAAUGCCCCCAAAAAAUUAUCUAAUUUUGUUAAGGGUAAGGCUCCCAUGCCUCAGGAUAACGAGGGUUACAUUUUAUAUCCUGCUGGUUAUACUGAGCAUAAAAUUAGGAGAAUUCAUUAUAGGAAGUCUCAUUCUGGUUCUCAUCAUGCUUUUAUGUAUAAGAAUGAGACAUCUAGUUCUAGGCAUACCACUCAUAUUAAAAUGCCUAAAAAGAAAUAUCCUGUUGCAUCAAAUGAAUCUAUUAUUUCAUUUAAGACUCUUGAUGCUUCAUAUGUUUUAACUAACAAAUCAGGCAAAUUAGUUGCCAAAUAUGUUGGGGGCAAACACAAGGGCUCCAAGACUUGUGUUUGGGUACCCAAGGUGCUUGUUUCUAAUGUGAAAGGACCCAAGACCGUUUGGGUACCUAAGAACAAGGCCUAAACUUGUUUUGUAGGUUUAUGCAUCCGGGGGCUCAAGUUGGAUCAUUGAUAGAGGAUGCACAAAUCACAUGACAGGGGAGAAAAGGAUGUUCUCCUCCUACGAGAAAAAAGAUGAUCCCCAAAGAGCUAUCACAUUCGGGGAUGGAAACCAAGGUUUGGUCAAAGGACUUGGUAAAAUUACUAUAUCACCUGACCAUUCUAUUUCCAAUGUUUUUCUUGUAGGUUCUCUAGAUUAUAACUUGCUUUUAGUUCUCAAUUAUGCAAAAUGGGCUACAACUGUCUUUUUACAGAUUUAGGUGUUACUGUCUUUAGAAGAAGUGAUGAUUCAGUAGCAUUUAAGGGAGUACUCGAGGGUCAGCUAUACUUAGUUGAUUUCAAUAGAGCUGAACUCGAUACUUGCUUAAUUGCUAAGACUAAUAUGGGUUGGCUCUGGCAUCGCCGACUAGCCCAUGUUGGAAUGAAGAAUCUUCACAAACUUCUAAAGGGAGAACACAUUUUGGGACUAACCAAUGUUCAUUUUGAGAAAGACAGGGUUUGUAGCGCAUGUCAAGCAGGGAAGCAAGUUGGUGCUGACCAUCCACACAAGAACAUCAUGACGACCGACAUGCCGCUUGAGCUACUCCACAUGGAUCUAUUUGGCCCGAUAGCUUACAUAAGCAUCAGCGGGAGUAAGUAUUGUCUUGUAAUUGUGGAUGAUUAUUCUCGCUUCACUUGGGUGUUCUUUUUGCAGGAAAAACCACAAACCCAAGAGACCUUAAAGAGAUUCUUGAGACGGGCUCAGAACGAGUUCGGAUUAAGGAUCAAGAAGAUAAGAAGCGACAACGGGACGGAGUUCAAGAAUUCUCAAAUUGAAGGCUUUCUUGAGAAAGAGGGCAUCAAGCAUGAGUUCUCUUCUCCAUACACACCUCAACAAAAUGGUGUAGUGGAGAGGAAGAAUAGAACUCUACUUGACAUGGCGAGGACCAUGCUUGAUGAGUACAAGACUUCGGACCGGUUUUGGGCGGAAGCAAUCAAUACUGCUUGCUACUCCAUCAACCGACUCUUCCUUCACCGAAUCCUCAAGAAGACAUCAUAUGAACUCCUAACCGGUAAAAAGCCCAAUGUUUCAUAUUUUAGAGUCUUUGGUAGCAAAUAUUUUAUUCUUGUUAAAAGAGGUAGAAAAUCUAAAUUUGCUCCUAAGGCUGUAGAAGGCUUUUUACUUGGUUAUGACUCAAACACAAGGGCAUAUAGAGUCUUCAACAAAUCCACUGGAUUAGUUGAGGUUUCUUGUGACAUUGUGUUUGAUGAGACUAAUGGCUCUCAAGUAGAGCAAGUUGAUCUUGAUGAGCUAGAUGAUGAAGAGGUUCCGUGCGUCGCACUAAAGAACAUGUCCAUUGGGGAUGUGUGCCCUAAGGAAUCCGAAGAGCCUCCACAAGCACAAGAUCAAUCGUCAUCUUCCAUGCAAGCAUCUCCACCAACCCAAAAUGAGGAUCAAGCUCAAGAUAAUGAAAAUGAAGAUCAAGAAGAGCCACCUCAAGAGGAGGACAAUGAUCAAGGGGGAGAUGUCAAUGAUCAAGACAAGGAAGAUGAUCAGGGUCCAAGACCGCCACACCCAAGAGUCCACCAAGCGAUACAACGAGAUCACCCCAUGAACUCCAUCCUCGGAGAUAUUCAUAAGGGGGUAACCACUCGAUCUCGUGUCGCUCAUUUUUGUGAACAUUACUCUUUUGUGUCUUCUAUUGAGCCAUACAGGAUGGAAGACACAUUAAGGGAUUCGGAUUGGGUGCUGGCAAUGCAAGUGGAACUCAACAACUUCACGAGAAAUGAGGUAUGGCAUCUUGUUCCACAUCCUAAUCAAAAUGUUAUAGGAACCAAGUGGGUCUUCCGCAACAAGCAAGAUGAGCAUGGUGUGGUGACAAGGAACAAAGCCCGACUUCUAGCCAAGGGCUAUUCACAAGUCGAAGGUUUGGAUUUCGGUGAAACCUAUGCACCUGUAGCUAGGCUUGAGUCAAUUCGUAUAUUACUUGCCUUUGCUACUUACCAUAGCUUUAAGCUUUACCAAAUGGACGUGAAAAGUGUCUUCCUCAAUGGACCAAUCAAGGAAGAGGUCUAUGUUGAGCAACCUCCCGGCUUUGAAGAUAGUGAGUACCCUAAUCAUGUUUACAAACUCUCUAAGGCGCUUUAUAGGCUCAAGCAAGCCCCCAAGAGCAUGGUAUGAAUGCCUAAGAGAUUUCCUUAUCACUAAUGGCUUCAAAGUCGGUAAAGCCGAUCCUACACUCUUUACUAAAACUAUUGCAAAUGAUUUGUUUGUAUGCCAAAUUUACGUUGAAGAUAUCAUGUUUGGGUCUACUAACAAAUCUACUUGUGAAGAGUUUAGUAGGAUAAUGAUUCAAAAAUUAGAGAUGUCUAUGAUGGGGGAGUUGAAGUAUUUCCUAGGAUUUCAAGUGAAGCAACUCCAAGAGGGCACCUUCAUUAGCCAAACGAAGUACAUUCAAGACAUACUCACUAAGUUUAGAAUGAAGGAUGUCAAGCCCAUCAAGACACCCAUGGGAACCAAUGGGCAUCUCGACCUCGACACGGUAGGUAAAUCCGUAGAUCAAAAGGUAUACCGGUCGAUGAUAGGAUCUCUACUCUAUUUAUGUACAUCUCGACCGGAUAUUAUGCUUUCUGUAUGCAUGUGUGCAAGGUUCCAAGCCGAUCCUAAGGAAGUUCACCUUAGGGCCGUGAAAAGAAUCUUGAGAUAUUUAGUUCAUACACCUAAGUUUGGUGUUUGGUACCCCAAGGGAUCCACUUUUUAUUUAAUAGGCUAUUCCGAUGCUGAUUGGGCAGGGUGUAAAAUUGAUAGGAAGAGCACAUCAGGGACUUGUCAGUUUCUGGGAAGAUCCCUGGUGUCUUGGGCUUCAAAGAAACAAAACUCAGUAGCUCUUUCUACCACCGAAGCCGAGUAUAUUGCCGCAGGCCAUUGUUGCGCGUAAUUGCUUUGGAUGAGGCAAACCCUUAGGGACUAUGGCUAAAAAUUAACCAAAGUCCCUCUCCUAUGUGAUAAUGAGAGUGCAAUCCGCAUGGCGGAUAAUCCCGUUGAGCACAGCCGCACUAAGCACAUAGCCAUUCGGUAUCACUUUUUGAGGGAUCACCAACAAAGGGGGAUAUCGAGAUUGCUUAUGUUAGCACCAAAGAACAAUUAGCCGAUAUCUUUAUCAAACCAUUAGAUGAGAAAACCUUUACCAAACUUAGGAAUGAGCUCAACAUUCUUGAUUCUAGGAACUUUGAUUGAUACUUUGCACAUAUAGCUCAUUUAUGUACCUUUGACCAUAUCUCUUUCAUGUGCUAUGACUAAUGUGUUUUCAAGUAAAUUCUUAUGCUAAGUCAUAAAUUGAAAGGGAAAUGGAGUCUCCGGCGAAGACAAGGCUUCCACUCCACUCUAUCGGUAUUAUUUACCCUUCACCGUCACUCCGAACCGCUCUCCACUUUGGUAUAAUCUUCACUCUUAUUACUCAUACAAUUGGGGAGAAAGUAAAAGGGCUCUAAAGACUCCGUUUUUGGUGAUUAAUGUCAAAAGGGGAGAGAGUAUUAGCCCAAAGCAAAAGGACCAUACCACCACACCAAUUUCAAAAAAAUUCGAAAUCUAGUUUUCAAUUGGUAUCUUUAAAAUUAGGAUUCCUCUAAGAAAUUCUAUCUCAAUUGGUAUCUAUAUUUUAAGGAGGAGUUUUUCAAAAUUGGUAUCUAAAAUAUUUGAUCUUCUUUCAAAUGGUAAAAAACCCUCUUGAACACUAAGAGGAGAAUUUCAUGAAAGGGGAGUUUUGUUUAGUCAAAGGAAAAGCAUUUGAAACAGGGGGAGAAAAUUUCAAAUCUUGAAAAUGCUCCCCGAAAUCUUAUUCAUAUACCUUUGACUAUUUGCAAAAAGACUUUGAAAAGAAUUUCCAAAAAGAUUUGCAAAAACAAAACAAGUGGUGCAAAGUGGUCCAAAAUAUUAAAAGAAAGAAAGCAAUCCAUGCAUAUCUAAUGAAAGUAUAAAUUGGUUUAAUUCCAAGCAACCUUUGCACUUACCUUAUGCAAACUAGUUCAAUUAUGCACUUAUAUAUUUGCUUUGGUUUGUGUUGGCAUCAAUCACCAAAAAGGGGGAGAUUGAAAGGGAAAUAGGGUUAAACCAUUUCCUAAAUGAUUUUGGCAGUUGAAAUGCCCAACACAAAUAAUUGGACUAACUAGUUUGCUCUAGAUUAUAUGUUCUACAGGUGCCAAAGGUUCAACACAAACCAAUAAAAAGAUACGAGUUAGGGUUCAAAAGAAAGGAGCAAAAGAAACCAAAGAGAACCCUGGUCUGGCGCACCGGAUUGUCCGGUGCACCAGGGUGGAUCGACUUCAAACCUUUCACCUUCGGGUUUCUGGAAAAGCCACUCCGCUAUAAUUCACCGGACUGUCCGGUGUACCACCGGACUGUCCGGUGUGCCAGCGGAGGAACGACUCCAGCGCAACGGUCGACUCCAACGGACACCUGCAAAAGCGCUAUAGUGCGUGGACUAUUCGCGCAGAGUCAGAGCAGGCACCAGAAGGCGCACCGAACAGUGAACAGUUCUUGUCCGGUGCAGCACCGGACUGUCCGGGGCACCAAGAUGUCAGAGCUCAAACGGUCGAAACCGUCAUAACCCUAACGAUUGGGUGACGUGGCUGGCGCACCGGAUAGUGUCUGGUGGCGCACCGGACUGUCCGGUGCGCCCAUCGACAGUAGCCCUCCCCAACGGCUGUUUUGGUGGUUGGGACUAUAAAUACCCCCAACCACCUCUAUUCAAGGCAUCCAAGUUUUCAGCAAUUGCAUUCAAUACAAGAUCUCUAGACUUCACUCCAAGACAAAAACAAGAGAUCAAAUCCUCUCCCAAGUCCAAAAUCACUCCAAACACUUAGUGACUAGUGAGAGAGAGAUUUUCGUGUUCAUUUUAGUUCUUGUCGCUAGGAUCGCUUUUCUUCUUCCCCAUUCUUGUUCCCAAGACACUUGUAAUCAAAGCAAGAGACACCAAUUGUGUGGUGGUCCUUGUGGGGUCUAAGUGACCCAUUUGAUUGAGGAGAAAAGCUCACUCGGUCUAGGUGACCGUUUGAGAGAGAGGGAAAGGGUUGAAAGAGACCCGGUCUUUGUGACCACCUCAAUGGGGAGUAGGUUUGCAAGAACCGAACCUCGGUAAAACAAAUCAAUGUGUCACUCGCUUAUUUCUUGGUUGAUUUGUUUUCGCCCUCUGUUUCGGACUCGGUUUUAUUUCUAACGCUAACCCGACUUAUAGUUGUGCUUAAAGUUUAUAAAUUUCAGAUUUGCCUAUUCACCCCCCUCUAGGCAACUUUCAAACGCCAUACUUGCCUUAUGGCUAAGGAAAAGAAGGUACACAUUCGAGAUACCCCCAAAUACUCUUCUUCUAGCGAUGAGGAAUCAUCUGAUGAUGAAGUAGAUUACACUGAUUUGUUUAAGAGAUUAGAUAGAGCUAAAUUAGACAAAAUUAACGAAUUAAUUGAUGCCCUUAAUGAAAAGGAUAGAUUACUAGAAAAGCAAGAAGAUAUCUUGUAUGAGGAACAUGAUAAAUUUGUUAGUGUUCAAAAAUCUCUUGCUUUAGAAAUUAAAAGAAAUGAAAUGCUAUCCUCUGAGUUGUCUGCUUGUCAUGAAUCUGUCUCUAGUCUAAAGGAUUUAAAUGAUGAAUUAAAUGCUAAACUAGAGGAAGCAAAUGCAACUAGAUCAUGUGUAGAAUAUGUAGUUAUUUGCAAUAGAUGUAAGGACUUUGAUGUUAAUGCCUGUGAUGAACAUCUUGCUUCUAUUGCUAAAUUAAACAAUGAGGUGGCAAGUCUUAAUGCUCAACUUAAAACUUGCAAAAUGGAUUAUGAUAAACUAAAAUUUGCUAGGGAUGCCUACACUGUUGGUAGACACCCCUCAAUUAAGGAUGGGCUUGGUUUUUGAAAGGAAACCAAGAACUUAACAAGCCAAAGGACUCUCGUUCUCAACAAGGAGAAAGGGAAGGCUCCUAUGACUAGUAGUUCUCAAAAGAAUCAUGCUUAUAUUUAUGAUAGAAAAUUUACUAGGCAUGCUCAUAAUGAUAGAUGCUAUGAUCAUGCUGUUCUACCUGGUUAUCAUUCUUCUCAUGCUAUGAUUGCUUCUAGCUCCACUUAUGAUUAUGGUAGAAAUAGGCCCAGGCGUAAUCAUGUUGUGUCUCAUGCGCCUAGGAGAGUUUGCAAUGGUCCUACUACUGUUUACCAUACUUGCGAUACUUCCUUUGUACUUUCAUGUAAAAAUGCAAAAGUAGUAGCUAGAAAAUUGGGAUCCAAAUGCAAGGGAGACAAGACUUUUAUUUGGAUGUCAAAAGUUAUUGUGACUAACCUUGUAGGACCCAACAAGAGUUGGGUACCUAAAACCCAAGCUUAAUUUGCCUUGCAGGUUUAUGCAUCCGGGGGCUCAAGCUAGAUUAUCGACAGCGGAUGCACGAACCACAUGACGAGGGAGAAGAAAAUGUUCACCUCCUACGUCAAAAACAAGGAUUCCCAGGAUUCGAUCAUCUUUGGAGAUGAGAACCAAGGCAAGGUAAAAGGAUUGGGAAAGAUAGCCAUCACAUCCGAGCAUUCUAUCUCUAAUGUGUUUUUAGUUGAAUCGCUCGGGUAUAAUUUGUUAUCUGUGAGUCAAUUAUGUAACAUGGGUUAUAAUUGUUUAUUCACAAAUGUAGAUGUAUCUGUCUUUAGAAGGAGUGAUGGUUCAUUAGCUUUUAAGGGUGUAUUAGACGACAAGCUCUACUUAGUUGAUUUUUCGAAAGAGAAUGCCGAUCUAGAUGCAUGCUUAAUAGCUAAGACGAAUAUGGGCUGGCUUUGGCAUCACCAUCUAGCACAUGUUGGGAUGAAGAACCUUCAUAAGCUUCUAAAGGGAGAUCAUGUGUUAGGACUAACCGAUGUCUGUUUUGAGAAAGACAGACCUUGUGCAGCAUGUCAGGCAGGGAAACAGGUGGGAAGCACUCAUCACAGCAAAAAUGUGAUGAUUACAUCAAGACCACCGGAGCUUCUUCACAUGGAUCUCUUCGGACCCGUUGCCAACCUCAGCAUUGGGGGAACUAAGUAUGGUCUUGUAAUUGUUGAUGAUUUUUCCUGCUUCACUUGGGUAUUCUUUCUACAGGAUAAGUCAGAAACCCAAGGGACUCUAAAGUGCUUCUUAAGGAGAGCUCAAAAUGAAUUUGAGCUAAAGGUGAAGAAGAUAAGAAGCGAAAAUGGGUCCGAGUUCAAAAAUCUACAAGUAGAAGAGUUUCUUGAGGAGGAAGGCAUCAAGCACGAGUUCUCCGCUCCCUACACACCAUAGCAAAAUGGUGUGGUAGAGAGGAAGAACAGGACACUAAUCGACAUGGCAAGAACGAUGCUUGGAGGUUCAAGACGCCCGAGCAGUUUUGGUCGGAAGCUGUGAACACAGCUUGCCACACCACAAACCGGCUCUAUCUGCAUCGCCUCCUCAAGAAGACCUCCUACGAACUCCUUACCGGUAACAAACCCAACGUCUCUUACUUUCGUGUAUUUGGGAGCAAAUGUUGCAUUCUGGUGAAGGUAGACAUUCUAAAUUUGCUUCCAAGGCUGUAGAAGGGUUUUUACUAGGAUAUGACUAAAAUACAAAGGCGUAUAGGGUCUUCAACAAAUCAUCGGGAUUAGUUGAAGUCUCUAGCGACAUUGUAUUUGAUGAUACUAAUGGCUCUCCAAGAGAGCAAGUUGAUCUUGAUGACAUAGAUGAAGAUGAAAUUCCGAAGGCCGCAAUGCGCACGAUGGCGAUAGGAGAUGUGCGACCUGGAACUGCAGGAACAAGAUCAACCCUCUUACUCAACACUGGUGCAUCCCCCAACUCAAGAUGAUGUACAGGUACCUCAAGAAGAGGGGCAUGAUCAAGGGGGAGCACAUGAAGAACAAGUUGUGGAGGAAGAGGCACCACGGAUCCCUCCAACUCAAGUCCGAGUGUCGAUCCAAAAACAUCACCCCGUUGAUCAAAUUUUGAGUGACAUCAGCAAGGGAGUAACCACUCGCUCACGAUUAGCUACUUUUUGUGAGCAUUACUCGUUUGUCUCUUCUAUUGAGCCUUUCAGGGUAGAAGAAGCCUUGUAGGAUCCGGACUGGAUGUUGGCCAUGCAGGAAGAGCUCAACAACUUCAAAAGGAAUGAAGUCUGGAGCCUGGUGCCACGUCCAAAGCAAAACGUUGUGGGAACCAAGUGGGUGUUCCGCAACAAGAAAGACGAGCACGGGGUGGUGAGAAGAAACAAGGCUCGACUUGUGGCAAAAGGUUAUGCUCAAGUCGCAGGUUUGGAUUUCGAGGAGACUUUUGCUCCUGUGGCUAGGCUAGAGUCAAUUCGAAAUUUUAUUAGCCUAUGCCGCUCACCAUUCCUUUAGGCUGUUUCAAAUGGACGUGAAGAGCGCUUUCCUCAAUGGGCCAAUCAAGGAGGAGGUAUACGUGGAACAACCCCCUGACUUUGAGGAUGACAGGUAUCCCGACCAUGUAUAUAAUCUCUCUAAGGCGCUCUAUGGACUUAAGCAAGCCCCAAGAGCAUGGUAUGAAUGCCUUAGAGAUUUUCUAAUUGCUAAUGCUUUCAAGGUUGGGAAAGCCGAUCCCACUCUUUUUACAAAGUCUUGUGAGGAGUUUAGCUGGGUUAUGAUGCAAAAGUUCGAGAUGUCCAUGAUGGGCGAGUUGACUUACUUUCUUGGAUUCCAAGUGAAGCAACUCAAAGAUGACACCUUCAUCUCCCAAAUGAAGUAUACCCAAGAUCUUCUCAAGAGGUUUGGAAUGAAGGAUGCUAAGCCCAUGAAGACACCAAUGGGGACUGACGGACAUCUCGACCUCAACACAGGAGGUAAGUCCGUUGAUCAAAAGACAUACCGGUCUAUGAUAGGUUCAUUACUUUAUCUUUGUGCUAGUAGACCGGACAUUAUGCUUAGUGUAUGCAUGUGUGCUAGAUUUCAAUCCGACCCCAAGGAGUGUCACCUUGUGGCCGUUAAGCGAAUUCUUAGGUAUUUAGUUUCUACGCCUUGUUUCGGGAUUUGGUAUCCAAAGGGGUCUACCUUUGACUUAAUUGGAUACUCAGACUCUGAUUAUGCUGGGUGCAAGGUUGAUAGGAAGAGCACAUCAGGGACGUGCCAAUUUCUAGGAAGGUCCCUGGUGUCCUGGAGUUCCAAGAAACAAACAUCUGUUGCCCUAUCCACCGCUGAGGCCGAGUACGUUGCCGUAGGACAGUGUUGCGCGCAACUGCUUUGGAUGAGGCAAACCCUCCGUGACUUUGGCUAUAAUCUGAGCAAAGUCCCACUCCUAUGUGACAAUGAGAGUGCAAUCCGCUUGGCAGAUAAUCCAGUUGAACACAGCCGCACUAAGCACAUAAGACAUCCGACAUCACUUCCUGAGAGACCACCAGCAAAAGGGAGAUAUCGAUAUUUAUCAUAUUAGCACCGAGAACCAGCUAGCUGAUAUCUUCACCAAGCCUUUAGAUGAGAAAACAUUUUGCAGGUUGCGUAGUGAGCUAAAUGUCUUAGAUUUGCGUAACUUGGAUUGAUCUAUAGCAUACAUGUGUUCUAUGCCUUGAUCAUCUUACUUUGAGCAUUUAAAUCAAUUAUUGUUUGUUUGUGGUGCUCAAGUUGUACAAGUCAUCCCCAGACCUCACAAGUCCGUAUGCAAAUGAUGCACAUGUUUAGGGGGAGAUGUGCUACAACUUGACUCCUUUGAGACUAACUUGUUUGCUUGAGUAUACUUGAAGUAGCCUCGAAGGACCAUUGAAAGGGAAAAUGAACUUGGAUGAUGAAAAGACUUCCACUGCACUCCGGUAUUAGUGUAUUUCAUUCCAAGUUCAUACUAAUGUUCUCGUUUCCUUUCCGCUCUUAUUUGACAUUUUGGUGAGGCAAUGGGGUUAAAAGGGCCAAAAGUUUUCCCGUUUUGGUGCUUAAUGCCAAAUGGGGAGAAAUUAAGGGCCAAAGCAACUGGAUCAGCCAACCACUUGUGAAUUUCAAAAAUAGUAGAGUUAGGAUUUGUAUUUUGCACAAAUAACUCUUAUUGCAAAAUUUGGUCUCUUAUGGGGGAGAAUUUUGAUUAUGGGAAAAAGGGGGAGUUUUGACACUUGAUCAAUUUUACUCUUGGAAUAUCUCUCAAUUUGCCCAAACAAGUGUGUUUGACUUAGAGAUAGGAAAAAUAAUAUGAUUUGCAAAAACAAACCAAGUGGUGGCAAAUAGUGAUCCAAAUAUGCCAAAUCUUAAGUAAAAAGAAUUUGGUCUUCAUUACACUUUUAUAGCUUUUUUGAUGUGUUGGCAUAAAUCACCAAAAAGGGGGAGAUUGAAAAGGAAAUGUGCCCUUGGACCAUUUCUAUAAGUAUUUUGGUGAUUAGAUGUCCAACACAUAUUGAGUAAGUUCUUAUGUGCCAAAUAAGUGAGAAGUGUGAAAUCAAGAACAAGGUAUGUGUCAGAGAGGAAAUCUCCGGCCGGGUGGCGGAAUGCACCCGCCCUAAAUCCUAAGAUGAGGAGGGGCCUAAGUGUUCUGCCUGUCUACUAAGCGAUGAACAAACACAAGAACACACAAGGGUUUAGAGUGGUUCGGGCUGCCGGAGCAUAAUACCCUACUCCACUGUGUGAUGUAUUGAGCUUGAGAGCUUGUAUGAACUUGUGAGCGUCUAAGUGUGUCUGAGUUUGAGUCUGCUUGAGUUGUAACGUUGCGUGCCUCCCCUUUUAUAGCUUAAGGGGGGCACGUACAAGGGUGCUGAGCCCCGACAUGCGGGCCCAGGGACAUAACGGAUGUAAUACUUGGAGCAACUAAUGCUGGUCGCCAGUGCAAUCUCCUUGCGCCCUGAUAUCCGCAGCCUCCGUAGUAUCGGUGUGCAGCGGAAGCUUCACGAGUGAUGAUGAGCACAGUGUAUGCCGCAGUACGGGCGUACUGUCUGCCACCGGAGUGGAUGGGCACGCCGCUUGCAGGAUGGCCUGGACGCCGCCCGUCAGCGGAGUGGACAGGGCACAUUUAUUGCCGAGACGGGACAUCGCUCGUCAGUGGAGUAGACAAGGCGCAUUUAAUGCUGAGGCGGCACAUCACCUGCCAGUUUGACAGGCGGCGCGCCUCACCCGCAAUAAAUGCGCGCGACCCAGAGCCUUACGUCUGGCUCCGCCCGUUGGCUUAUGUCACAGGCAGCUGGCCACGUGGCAGCAUCGGGUCUCCGCCUAAUCGGGGAGCAGAGGCAUACGCAAUAUGGUCCAGACACGUGUUGGCUCCGGACCCUCGCCUGGCCUUGAAUAAGGUCCGGGUACUCCUUCUCAAAGAAUCCCGGGACCUUGUUGUGAGCGGCCUGGGCCCCACAUAGGGAGGUCCGGGACCCGUCUCGAGGGUCCGAUCUGUGUAUCUAGGGGUCUGACACUUUCCCGUGGGGGUCCGGACCCACUGUUGACACCAUGGAGUAUAUUGUCUUUCUUGGCCACGUGGCGGCCCUGGAGUUGUCCACGUGGUGGGGUCAGGUACUGUUCGCCACGCGACUAACGAUAGCCGCAUGGACACCGCACCUUCAUACUGUAGUAACGGGUACCCCUGUUCCAGGGUACUGACAGUGGCCCCUGGGCCCACCUCAGGGGAGGAUACGAGCCUGCAGGUGGGGCCAAAGCUGAAUUGUCGAUUGGCGCGCUGCUUCUGUGCGCUCGCUGGCGUAAUUACUGCUAGUCCGCCCUCGAUCACGCCAACUGCCAUGCCUGUCCCCGCGGCUGACUGACCCGUGACCUCCGCACUUGAUGGUUUUGCUGGGCCACGAGCGGGGUGCCUCGAUACCGCUACAUUGGUUUUGAAAAUUUACCUUCUCUAUUUUCAGCGGAGGCCCCAAGGAGGCGCGGUACUGGCGCGUGCGGCGGUUCGACUUCUCUACACCCAGGAACCGGCGCCCAUGGAGGAUGACUCGUGGGCUCGGGCCUCCGUGUUAGAGACUAGGCUGUUGGUUUUGGCGGAGGUGAACAGGCGCACUACCGCAGACGGUGGCGUGCUCCUCACGCGACGGUUCGCCUUCCCCGCGCACGGAGGCCGACGCCCAAGGAGUAUGACUCGUGGGCCUGGGCCCCCGUGCUAGAGGCUGGGGUGCUGCUUUCGGCAGAGACUAAGAGGCGCAUUACCGCGGGCGGUGGCGUGCUCCUCACGCGGCGGUUCGCCUUCUCCACACACGGAGGCCGACACCCAAGGAGUAUGACUCGUGGGCCCGGGCCCCCGCGCCAGAGGUUGGGCCGCUGCUUUCGGCGGAGACGAAGAGGCAUGGCGGUUCGCUUCUUGCGUGGCGGUUCGCCUUCAUCGCACACGGGGACCGACGCCCAAGGAGAAUGACUCGUGGGCCCGGGGCCCCGCGCCAGAGGCUGGGUCACCCUGGCGUGCGUCGAGCGAGAUCUUCUGCGGCGUCUCGGGGCGUCAGUGGGGGAAUGUUUCUUUAAAAAGGGACUCCCUCGAGCGUGGUAGCCAUUCUCAUCACUCGCAGCGCCCUUUCGCCCUUGAGUUCUCCGCGCUCUUCUGCCGUUGUAGCCGUCAUGGCCUUGCUAGACCCUCCCGACCGCCUCCAGCCCGAGGUGCCACUCAGCUUGGUGCGCAGCCUGCUCGGAUGGGGUGUGCCGGUGUUCGCCGGAAGGAUCUGUGUCGGUGCCUCUCCUCACGGCGAUCUCACUGUCGGAGAGCUCGUGCUCUUCGUCUCCAACCUCCACAGCGGGCUGGCGCUGCCGAUUUCGUCUUUCUUCGUGCUGCUGCUGGAGGAGCUCGGCCUCCAAUCUCAGCACUUCACGCCCUGCUUCAUCCUUCAGGCGACCAUUAUCGCCUACCUCUGCAAGGUGUCUAUGGGGGCGACGCUUCUUCCCGCUUCUUCCUCCAGCAUUCGGAGGAAAGGAUGUUCACCAUCCUUAUGAAGGUGGACAACAGACUGAGCUGCGGCUCCAUCCUUCGCGCCCCAACUCUUUUGGUGGGAAGCGAGCCGUGCUGCGGCUCCAUCUCUUUGGCUUUGAUGGCUUCAGUGCCGCCUCCAAUGGUGACCGCUGGCCUAGCUGCUGAAGACGCCGCCCGGGAGGUCGUACAAGACGCCGUACGCCGUGGAGAUGGCGGCCGCGCGCUUCCAGCGCGACCCUACUGAUGUCGAGUAGGUCAUACCUGUAGACAUAAGGCUAGGGCCCCACUUGAAGGCGGAUGUAAUAACUUUGUUUUUGUAAGGUACUUUUUGAGUACUAUUUAUCGAGUAGUAUUAGCACUUAUCUGCAUACUAUUUGUCCCUGUUGUGUGUGGCGUUGCCGACUCCUACCUGGUACCUAGCCCCCCUGGGAUGUAGGCUCGACGUGUCGAGACUGGAUACCAGCAUACCUAAAAGAGUUGGGAAUGGCCCCCAGGAGGCAGCCUCGACUGGAACCUGGACCUGAACACAGCUUCGGCUAGGGAGCGUUAGUAGUACACCCAUAGGACCCAUCGUCUGACAUUAGCCAUCCUUUGAUACAUGCACGGGACCUACAGGUUUUAGUCUGGGAAGCCAAGUUGUGUGUCUGGACCCCCUGGAUCGCGAUUCCAAAUACUAGGACACCCGUCGCAGAGUGGUGGAGCGUGCAGGCUUACGGUACGGGACCAGGCUAAGCGGCUACACGGCUCCCGACCACCCAGGAGACAAGUAUCCAUUCUCUAGAGCCAGACCCCAGGUUGUCGGACCCACACGACUAUAGCUCUAAAUACUAGGGUGCCUGUCACAGAGUGGUGCAGUGUACAGGCUUUGGGUAUGGAACCAGGCUAAGCGGCUACACUGCUCCGGACCACCCCAUGGAACGAGCUCCCGUUCUUUAGAACCGGCCCCCAGGCUACCGGAGCCCCCUUCUUUCGUAGAGGGGUCCUAAACUGCAGACAUGGCUACUCAAUUCGGAUAUCAUCAUGCCGGGACAGAUGGGAACUGCAUGGGUGGGUUAGAUAAAAAAUAAUAUCUAGAAACUGCAGGAUUAAACCAUGGAGGCAGGAGGAUAAAACUGUCAUAGGAGUAUAUCUGAGGGGGUAAGUCUUCUCUUUAUAACUUGACAUGCAUGGGUGCAGACCAAUAGGCCGGGCUUAUGAGGGCGGACCUCACCGGGCUCACGUACACGUAUGCACUACCUAGUUACAAAAGGGAGAGAAACUCAACCCCUCAUACUUGCUUCUAUGGAUAGAACUUACAGAGGUGCUCCAGGGGUUAGGUAGAGGUACUCCAGCUGUAGCAAGGUGGUUACCCCUGUGUCGGCACAUUUCCGUCACCUUGAAGGGUUCCUCCCAGCUGGGGGAGCGCUUACGGAACCCUUCUUGGUUCAGUACUCGCCAUAGGGCUAGGUCCCAACCCAGGGUUCCCUACUAUGCACGAACCGUUAGUAGUGCCUGGGCGCCUGGUUGCAACGUGCAUUUUGGGUUGCUGCUUGCCCUCUGCGUUCGUCGAUGGAGUCCACAUCCUUACGAUGUGGCCGCUCCUGCAUAGAUUUAUCAAAAGACUGGACCCGUGUUGAGUCCAUAAGGGUUUCCGGGGAAAGGCAGGCUUCAGCCCCGUAGACCAGGGAGUACGGGGUCCCCCCGGCAGUCUGUCUAGCUGUCGUCACCGGAGAUAGAGCCUCCGGCGAAAACAUCCUUCAGGUCCCCCUCGGGCGACUGAUACCCGAGGUCCCAUUCAGCCACAACCACCUCGCCGUCGUCGACCCUUUCCUUGCCAGGUCGGUGGCGAGGUGGGGAGCUGUCCU